GAGCGAAUGGCAUUCAAGAGCACAAAAAACCGCAGCCACUUGCAUAUUGUUAGGGAAGUUGAGGCAAUUGGAGGUAACACAUCGACCUCAGCCUCUAGGGAGUGCAUGGCAUACACCUUUGAUGCCCUUAAGACCUAUGUUCCUGAAAUGGUAGAAUUGCUUAUUGACUGUGUUAGGAACCCUACUUUUUUGGAUUGGGAAGUUAAUGAAGAGGUAAUUUUUUUGAUCUUUGCCAAUUUUCUGAUUAAAUUGACAGUUGUGUUUUCCAAAAUUCUUAGUACAAGCAAUCACUCAGUUCUAAGAAGCUACUCAGGUUCUAGUUUGUCCAGUCAUGGAACGAGAUAUGUUUGACACUUUCUACCCUUUUCAAGUGAUAACUGUAUCUGCAAAUCUACUUAAUCUGUUUGCACCCUUUAUUUGAUAAUUCAGCUUGGAGUGUUUUGUCUUGAAAUGGUGUUGCAUGUUGGCAAAGAUACAUUCAGAAGAUCUUGACAUGGGACAACAACUAUUUACAUUUUAUUGAAUGGUAUAAUAACAGAUAUUGUUUAAGAAUACUCUUUUUUUUUUUUUUUGUAGAAUGAGAAUGAAUCAUGCACAUGCUAAGUAACGUUAGUUAUAUAUGUAGCCAAGGCAAUAGCUUGUGCUAAAUAGUCAUUGCUUACUUUCAAGAAGGGUGUCUCAUUUUCUAAGCUCCAAUCUCUAUUCAACUCUGAAAUUAAAAAAAUAAAUAAAGUUAUGUUACAUCUAAACUUAACCAACGAAUCUCCACUGCACUUUCAUAAUUGUGUAAACUGAUAAAGCUGCAACCUACCAGGACAGUCUGAGAGGAAACAAGUCUUGUGUUGUGCCUUGGAGCAGCCCACAUGCCACUUUGUUGUAGAAGAAGCAUCCUAUAAAUCUCAGCUUAUGUUUGUUUAAAGCAUUGGUAUUAGAAGUACCGUUGCUUAAUUUUCCAUAUCAUUAUACUUCCUAUUAAUUACCUCUACCAUUCUCUGUAUGAGCAAGUAAACUUACAUGCUCGUAUAUCUAGAUUUUUGGUUGAGUGUGUAUACCUAUAUAUGGGACAGUCGUCUGAGAAUGGGGACUCAAUGCUUUGGCCAUUGAUAAUAAGCACAGAACCAGGAUUUUGUUCCUUUUCUCUUUGUUGGGUUCUGCGACCAUAUUUUGAGUUUUCUAUAUACCACAUUCUUGUACAGUUGCAAAAGGUGAAAGCUGAGUUAGAGGAAGUUUCGAAAAAUCCUGAGCGCAUAAUCUUGGAGGCUGUUCAUUCCACUGGUUAUUCUGGUGCACUGGCAAAUCCUCUCUUGGUUCCUGAAUCAGCACUAGACAGAUUGGACGGUAGCAUUUUGGAAGAGUUCAUUACUGUGAGAAUCUUUUCUAUGCUGCUUGUAUCCCUGCAUGUAGUUUUACAUUUGUAGCACAAUUUUUUUAGUACUUUGAACAUGAGACUUUUUAUUUGAUUGAUGCAUGUUUCCAUUUUUCUUUUUCUGUGUUUAUUUUGCGGAAUGGUGGUUUAUUUGAUGGUUUCAGGAGAAUUAUACAGGGAAUAGAAUGGUCCUGGCUGCAUCUGGCGUUGAGCACGAAGAGCUUUUACAGAUUGCUGAGCCACUUCUUUCUGACCUCCCAGCAGGACCUUACCCUGAGGAACCAAAAUCUGUUUAUGUUGGUGGUGAUUUUCGUCGACAAGCUGAUUCACCAGUGUGUUUUACCAUUCAUCUGAUAUAAAUAAAGUUGUCUUUACAUAACUUCCUUUCCCCAUUCGCCCCCCCCCCCCCCCCCCCCCCCACCCUCAAACCCCCCAAAUAAUUAAAAAAAAAGAAAGAACAAAAAAACUCUCUUUAGAACUUCCAAGAUUUCUUCUUGUCAUAGAUUGAAAGUUUUGGUUCUGAAUUGCAGAGUACCCAUUUUGCUCUUGCCUUUGAAGUACCAGGUGGCUGGAAUAAUGAGAAAGACUCUGUCACUCUGACUGUAAUGCAGGUGCUGCUUUUUGAACUUUGCAUCAUGAAUUGUUUAAUUCAGUUAGAAUUGUGUAUUCCCUUUUUCCUUUAUUUAAGAUUUACACAGAAACUUUUGGAUCACACAUCAUGUGUUGAAAAAUCUUCAACUUUAUUUUUUAGUUUCUGUUGUGAUUUUAUAUGAUUCCUGCUUGAAUGUUACUAAUGAUUCUGUUUGACCUACAGAUGCUUAUGGGGGGAGGUAGCUCAUUUUCAGCUGGGGGUCCAGGGAAAGGAAUGCACUCUCGGCUAUGUAAGUUUUGCUUUUAUCUGGCAUAUAGUUCUCCUUGCUUGACAAUUUGCAUUUGAUUUUAGCUGAUGUCAUUUGUCAGACAAUUUUUCUUGCAACAGUCUUGCAUUCUUCCUGUUAAUUGUGAAAUAUUACUAGUUUUUGCUUGUAUUACAUGCUGAAUUUCUUUCAUGCUUAGGUAAAUAUGUGCUUACUUUUCCUUUUCUUUGUUAUGUUUGGAAGCAGAUCUCUGUGUAUUGAAUGAGUAUCAGCAGAUUCAUUCUUUUUCCGCAUUCAACAGCAUUUUCAAUAAUACUGGAUUGUUUGGCAUCUAUGGUAGCACGGUAAGGCUAUCAUUAUGUACUCUUCUUCAUUGUCUGUUCGUGCAAAACUUGGUAGCAUUGUGUAAGCAUGUAUAUGCAGUUGUUCGUGCAUAUAGAUGCGUGCAUGUUGUCUUUAUUUAUAGAACUUUAUAAGUGUUAUCUCUUAAUAUCUUUCAGUAAUGGAUAUUUAUCUUUCAUAAUCUAAUUUAAUGAAGUGGCAUUUCUUUAGUUGGGUCUGUCAAUAAUCAUUAUCUUGCAUGCUACACUUUGUAAUUACAAAGAGUUGACUGCACUCAAUUUUUGUGCCAGAGCUCUGAUUUUGUGUCAAAAGCAGUUGACAUAGCAGCAGAAGAAUUAAUUUUAUUGGCAAGAGAAGGAGCAGGUUUGCUUGCAUUUCUCUUAUUUUGCCCUUUCCUUGGGUCACUUCUUUUCAUGGAAAACUCUUUAAUUUUUGCUGCCCUGUUUUUUUUUUUUUUUUUUUUAACUCCUUUUAAAAGUUUUUGAACCCAUCUUGGUGGCAGUUUCUCAUAUAAUGAUAAAGCGUGCACAACAGGCCACAAAAUCUGCCGUACUAAUGAAUCUAGAAUCUAGAGUAUGCUUUCCUUCUCUCUCUCCCCCAUCCCAAAAUGCAGAGUUGUGCAUUAUUCUAGCAAUCUCAUAUGUUAAUUUUUUUUAUUAAAAUCAUUUCAUUAUUGCUUUAGUUUUCUUUGUUCUGUUAAAAGACUUCUAAUAUUAAAUCAGUUGUAUUUUUCAGACGAUUGUGGCAGAAGAUAUCGGAAGGCAGAUUUUGACAUAUGGAGAAAGGUGUGUUAAUACUUCAAACUCCUUUAUCUGUACCUAUCCCUAUGUAUUCGUGCAUGAUUUCCUACACCAAAUCUAAAGAUAUGUUUUGACCUGCAUAUGACAUUCAUGUGAGAAAACAGUUACAGAAAACAUAGAAUUAUGGGGUUGUGAUAUUUAAUUCCAGUUACAAGUCUAAUUUUCAUCAUGUUUAGAGAUUUUAUCAGAAAAAAAGUUGGCACUAAAAUCUUAUAUAGUUUGUUUCUUAGAGUGUUUUACCCCCAAUAAUUCUUUAGCACAAUUGUAUUAUUGAUUGCCCAAGCUCCAACCAGAAACCUUUCUGAAAAUUUUUCCCCCUGAAAACAUGUACCCUUCUACAGAGGUUAUCCACCUGAGGUUGAAGGGUCUUUUACCUUUCUAAAAUUGGGUACUAUAACAAUGCUUUUAUGAAUAUCAAAAAGUUUUUGAAUAAGUAAUUAACUUAAACACUUAUUGUUUGAGAAUGGCUGUAUGAGCGAAAUUACCUUAUUGUGAGUUUUAUGGUUAGUAAAAAAUUUCUGCUGUUUUAUAAAAUGUGAAAUUCAUAUUGCCAACAACUAUGUGGUCUGAUAGUAGAAUACCGGACUCUUAGUUUCAGUAACCAGGGUUUAAAUCCUAACAGCCUCAAAUAUUAAAAAAAAAUGAAAUUCAUAUUAAUUGUCACUCUGUAAAAUAAGUUAUCUUUAUGUUCCAGUCUCCAAUUUGUUUCAACAUCCUUUUUUUGCAUAUGCAACCAAAAAAUCCAGCGAUGCUAAUCAUCCUUGAUAUGGUUACUUUGGUGAAAAUGUCUUACAUGGUUACCUUGCUAACCAGUUUAUGUCUAGUCUAGACUGGCCACAAAAGCUUGUUUCCUGUUCUUCUCUCCUUCAGUGAGGUUGCACUGUGUUUUUCAACCAUUUUAAUCAUUAAAAGAGAGCUCCCUUAAUGGAAUAUACUUUAGUCAUUUUUUUAAGUACAUAGGAGGCCGUAGUCUAAGGAUAGGAGUUACAAGUGUUGGGAGUUGAACUCUAGACUUGCAAGAUGUCGCUUUUUAAUAGUGAUUGCAUGAAUCAACUGAACUAAACUCUAGAGUUAAUAGGAUUAAUCACUUGAUACUAUGCUUAUCUGCUUGUGUUUAAAGGGAAUUAUAUUUACGGUGACAAAGUGUCAAAAGGAAUUGAUUUAAUGUAUAGGGGUGUUGUUUUCUUGUGGCACACUAGUUUCUUACUGUAAUUUGCCUCACGAAAGGAGUAUCCAAUUUGUUUUGUUUUAACAUAUUUUAUCUUAUAUUUCUUCUCAGGAAAUCCAUACAGUCGUUUUUAAAGAUGGUAGAUGAAGUAACUCCGCACGAUAUUACUGAUCUGGCUGGGAAGAUUAUAUCGUCGCCUCUAACUAUGGCAUCUUAUGGUGAUGGUAAAUAUCUGAUUUCCUGGGAACUAUUUGAUCCAAGUCUUGUGAUCAGAUUAUGAAAUUCUUUACCCUUCUUGCUUGGCAGUUGUUAAUGUCCCCAACUAUGAAUCUGUUAGCAGCAAGUUUCGUGCAAAAGGAGUGUACCCAUGAAUUCUGAACCAGUGAUAGAGUUUACAAUGGUGGCAAUCAUGGCAGCCAUCCCCACUGAUAAACUUUUUGCCAGUCACUGAAAUUUCAUUAGCAUCUCAGUUUAAAUUUGAUUAUUGGGUUGCGUUAAGUGCAGCUUCAGUGUGGAUUUUUGAAAUGUUUAAGUUCGAACCCAACAUUGUUAGGCUCAGUCCGUCCAUAAAGACCCAAAUGGACCCAUCAUCUUAUACAAAUAUACAAAAGCCAAAACUAUUUUAAUAUGGAUGAUCUAACAUUUUAACAUAUGAAUGGUCUUUAGUAAUCGUCAUGUGUUUUAGAUUUAUUGUUAUAUAUAUAUAUAUAUAUAUGUAUUUAUAUUUAUUUAUUUAUUUAUUUUAUAUAAAUUUUAAAAUUUUCAACGCAUUAAUUAUUUUUAUUUUUCUUUAAAUUUUUAAUUGACUUAUCUUUAUUUCUAAUAAAAUAUCUUAAAUUAUAGAUAUAGUAUUUAAAAAAAACAUGUUGAAUUUUAAAUGAAUUCAUUAUAAUUGAUUUACAUAGAUUAUGCCUAAUUUAAUUUGCAUUAACAUAAAGCUUCUUUAUUUUCUUUUGUACCAAAAAAUUCCAUUAUAAAUAGGAGAUUUUGAUGUAAUCUAGCAUUAUUUACAAGGUUAUUUUCCAAUUGCAUUAGCUUUAGAUUAGAGUAAACCUAUCGUACUCUUCUGCAAUUACAAUUUGUUGUUUUUCAAUAAUUUAUAUUUCAGUCUAUGAGUGUUUUGGUUAGUUUCAAUUUGACCAUUAUCAUGAAAGAAAAUUUAAGCUAAAAACAAAAUAGUGCUCUAUUGUGUUUUACAAUUUUUACCUUUAAUUUUUUUUUUGUUUUUUUUGUUUUUUUAAAUUCUCAAGUCUCAAACAUGAAAUUUUAAUUUUUCAAACUUAGUUUUUCUCACCAAAUUUGUAAAAAUGAUUUAUUUGUAUUUUUUGCUUAAAAGUGUAAAUAUCACCAUUAAUUUUUGUCAAUUAUAUGUCUUAUUUUUUAAUAAAAAAAUACGAAUUAAUUAUAGGUAAUUUUAAAUUAAGAGUACUUUAUGUUAGACAAUUAUGAUAGUCAAUAGUUCAUAGUGAAAAGUUGCUUUGAAUAUUAUUUUUUAAAAUUAAUGAACGUUUAUUAAUCACCUUGUAUUCUUUCCUUAGGUAUUCAAAACUGUUAUUAAUAAGGUUAUAAUAACAUAUGAGCAUAAUUUAAGAUGAAUAUUAAUAAAAUAGAUUUUGAUUGUAAAUUGGCUGCAGAAUAAGUGACGAAUAACUAAAUUUUUCACAUGUCAAGAAAGUAGGUGUAAUACUUUGCCCAAAUGAUAAUUAGGCUAGACUAUUAUUAAAGUUUAUUAAUUUAAUUAAAAGGGUUCUUUCAUUUUUCUUAAGUUAGAGAAUAUAAAAAAUCAAGUUAAAGAUUCAAAAUCAAAAAAUACAAUUGAGUUAUUCUCUUAAAGAUGAGUAUAUGACAUUUUUUUUAUUUAAAAAAAAUAUUAUACUGGUUGCUAUUAUUUGAAGUUGAAGUUAUGAGAGAAAAAUCAAGAAAAAUUAUUAAAUCUUUUCAUAAAUCUUCAUGAUCUAUUUAGGUAAAUUAUUGGGUUUGUUUGCUUUAUGUUAUUAAAAUUUAAUGCUGAUUUUUAAGUGAAUUUUAAUGGUUGAAAGUAGAAAUUUGGGUCUUUAAAGAUUCAAGAAAAAAUUUUAUUUUUUGAUGAGAUACUAUGCUCUAUAAUAGUGAAUUAAAAUAAAAUUUUGCAUUAAUUGAUAGAUUAUUACUAUAAGUAUUAUUUAUUGUUGAAAAGCUUAUUGAAUCUACUUUCCAACAAAAUAAACGGAAUAGAUUUUGAAUUUUUAUGAAGAGUUGCCUAAUUGUUAUUUAAGGAUAUGCAAAUUGCAUGUCAAUAACAUUAGUCAUGAAUUAUGAAAAUUGUCUUAAAUUUUAUACGAGGAAUUAAGGAUUGAGCUAUAUAUUUUGAAAAGGUUAUUAAGUCUACUUUUCAACGAAAUAAACAAAAUUAAAUUUGGAGUCUUCUAUGAAUAAAUAUAUAAUUUUUAUUAUAAGGUAUACAUGCUGUCUGACAGUAGCAUAUGACGUAAUUUGUAAAAUUUAUUGCAAUUAAUCUAUAAGGAAUUAAGAAAUGAACCAUAUAUAAUUAGAAAACUUAUCAAAUCUAGUUUCUAAUGCAUUACAAAGAUCUUAAUUUUAAGUUGGAUAUAUUGAGAUAUGGCUGUUGUAGUGAAAGGAGCUUAGGCUAUCAAUAUUAGUGAAUUAAGUUAACCCCUGUAUAACUUAAUUGUUUUCAGUAUAAAUGAUCUCAAAAAGGGUUGAUUAAUUUUUAAUAUGUUGAAAUGAUAUUGAAUAAGCUAUUAAUUAUUUUGAAAAAAAAAAUUAAGUGGUGGAAUCGAAAAGAUAUAAGUAGAAUCUCACACAUUUUAUUUAUUUUUUAACCUAUGUAUAUAUGUAUGUUUCUAAAUAAGUAAAUGUUUUAUUUCUUUAUUUUCAAUAUAUGAAAAUAUGAUUAAACAUAUGAUUAUUUUGUAUUUUUGCUAUGUGAAUGAUGAAUUAUGUUUAUAAAUGAAAUGAGCAAAUUAUUUAUAUUUAAAGAAAUAUUUUAUGAUAGCUACGUUUUUACAUCCCUGAAAAAUAGGAUCAUUAAUAUCAGAACUAGUUCUACGGCCCUAGUGUCAUGAUGUAUAUAUCCGUAAAUCUUUGACUUUAUAGAGUCGCCACCAAUAUUUUUUUAUCUAGAUACAAUUAAUUACCUAAUUGAAUCUGUCUUAUUUUAAAAAGAAGUCGUAAGCUUAACUCGAGUAGUUUUAAAAGAUAAAUUAUAAUCUAUGAAACCAAAUAUAGGUCUAGGAGUAUAGUUACGUAUAGAAAAUGUUAUAACACCUCUACAACAUCUAUCCAAAUGAUGGUAUCAGUUUGAUCUCAUAUUAUUCAAAACCUUAAAAAUCUUACCAAAUAAUUAAUUAUUGAGAAUUGUCGUAAAAUUAUUUCAAUAUGUUGGUAAUAAUUUUAAGAUAUUCUUUUAUCUCAGAAGUAUUUAAGGAAAAUUAUUUGUCACAUUUUGAAAAGGCUCCGUUAUUGGGUUCAUUUAAUUUUCUAAAAACCUUUGUUUGUUAUAAAUGGUAUUUUUGUGAGAAUCUUGAUAUUAAAUUUUUUUAAAAAUUCUCCAAUACGUUGGUAAAAUUUAAAAAGAAUUUUUCACCUAGGAAUCUAUAUAAAAAUUGCUAUUUUGUAAUGCUUUUAGUAAUUCUAUCACCGGAGAUUCAAAAUUAAUUUUCAUAAAAAUAUUUUAUUUUCAAAAAUAUCUUCCAAUAUGUUGGUAAAAUUUUUUGUCAAAGACUAUCUUCCAAUGUGUUUGUCGUAACAGUUUUGCUGACUAUUAGAUAAAUUUUAAAACAAAAAAGAGUUGUCACAAAUAUUUUUUAGUUAGGUGUAAUUGACUACCUAUUAAAACUUACAUUUUUAAUAAAAAUUUUAAAAUUAAUUAAAACGUUAUCAAAAAGAUAAUUUUGAUAUAUACGAAAAUAGUUACAUAUAGAAAAAGAUUAGCACUCUCACAACGUCCACUUAAAAUGGUACAAAUUAAUUAUGUGUUUUCUUUUAAUUUUUACAACAAGAUCUUAAUUUUGAUAUUUAAAAAUUAAUUUUCUUAAAUUUUAUUACAAAUAAUAUGUUUAUUUUUUAAUAUAUUUUUCUAUUUUUGAAAAAUAAAUAAGAACAUUGCAUAUUGAAAAUUUUUUGAAAUAUUCUAAUACUUUGGCAAUAUUAAUAUAAACGUUCUCACCUAAGAAAUUCUUAAAAAUCUUUAUUUGGGAUUCUUAAAAAUUCUAUUCUCGAUGAUUCAUAUUUAUCAUCAAAAAUUAUAUUUAAUAAGUAGAUUGUAAAACAUUAUAUCUAUAAUUUAAAAUCUAAUAAUAUUUUCUAAAGUUUAUUUUUUAAAACUAAAACGAGAAUCAUUAUCGAAAAUUAUUUUAAAUGCUUCAAUACAUUGAUGGUAUUUUAGAUAAAUUUUUUUACUUAGAGAUUUUUAAAAAAUCACUACUCGAAUUUUUUUAGGAUCUCAUCCUUGAAGAUUUUAUUUUUCAUUUUCAUUUUUAUUCAUCAUUUUUUAAUAAUUAUUGAUAUUUAAAAGUUAUGCAAUAAUAUAAUCAUUUAUAAGUUUAUUUCUUAAAAAAAUAUGUACUUUUAUAAAUAUUUUAUAUUUUUAUCUUUUAUCCUUUUUUAAGAAAGUUAUUCAAAUUAAAGAAAAUAAAAAUCUUUGUAUUGAAAAGAUUUUUUAAAUAUUUCAAUACUUUUAUAAUUUUUAAAAAUAUUUUUUCAUCUAAAAAAUUAUAAAGAAUCACUAUUUAAAUUUCUUAGAGUCCCAUCAUAAAAAAUUCGUAUCUACUCUUAAUUUUAUUUUUUUCAUCAUUUUUUUAAAAAAAUUUAUUCUACAUUAUUAUGAAUCGUUUGUGAAAAUUUUUUAAAAUGCAACCUCAAUCAAUCGCAAACAAUUUCAUUUAUUUAAUACCAAAAUAUGUAAAAAAAUAAAUAAACACAUGAACAAAUAACACUAAAGCAAGAUUUACUAUAAAUUGGGCUAGGAUCCAAGUUAAAUUGAUUUGGUCCAAAUAGUUACUGCAACUUCGGCCAAGUCAAUGAUAGGUGGAGGCAAAAGGUUAGGCUACUUCCAGGUGAAUGGGCCAGAACUUGGACCCGUUUGGAUCAACAAUCAGAUCGGGUUGGUUGGGUCCCAGGCUGGAUCUUAGUCCUGGGCGAGGUGGCCCGUCUCUAUUUCUUCUUUUUUAAGGCUACAAAAUCUCUCUUUUUAAUUCAUCAUUUUCCUUUGGGCUCUUAAAAAAAGCCUAAUGGCCCUCUCUACAAAAUUCCAGAUCCUGGUGGCCUCGCAGUACACACUGCCGCCGUUGCUGCCCGUUGUCAAUGAACAGCUCCGCCUUUUUGUUUUACGUUCAUUCCUUUUUCCUUUUUUUCUUUUCCCUUUCUUUUUUUUUUUAAGAGAGAGACUAACUUAACUUUUUUUUCUUCCACAGGGUGUGACGCUGCUUUUCCUCUUACAUCUCCUUUCGCAUAAUCUCUUUUCUCUCCCUUUUUUCUUUAAAAAAACUGAAACUGAUUUUUUGUUUCUAGUUUUUGUUUCACAAAAUAUGCUUGGUGCUGCGGUUUCUUUCCCAUAGGGAGGACUGUAAUUUUUUUUUAUUAUUGGUUGUAACAGGUUUGAAGUUGGAUUUUUUUUUUGUUUUUUUUAGGUGUUUUCUUGGUGAUUUUCGAUUGGAGAACGGGUUUAUGGUAGUGGAGGUUUAGUGGGUUUCAGCUAAAUGCUCUGGUAGUGAUGGAGAAGCUAGGAUUUUGGCUAGCCGAUAGGUUCUUGUGGAGGGCUGGUACUAGGAUCGUGAAAUGGGUUUGGGUAUAGAACUGGGUUGAAGACAAAGGUUUUUGGUACCUUGGUUGAAUAUGGGAAGGGUUGUUGCGUACACUAUGGAUGGAGUUGGUGAGUGUGUGGGUGAAGGCUGGGCUUGAUGUGGGUGAAGGUUGAGGCAAGACUGGGUAUACGCCAUGCAGGUAAGGGUGGGGAAUUAAAGGUGCUUGGCAAGGGUGUGGGUCCCGGGUGGAGUUUAAGCUGGUUUCUGGUGUUGUUGGGUUGGACGGCACUGGUGUUGUUAGGUUGGAUUGGAUUGGUGUUGUUGGGUGGUCUGUUCCUGGGGGCUUGGGUUUUGGGGUUGUGAAUGCUAGGUGCUUGGGGCGGUGUUCUGCCAGGGACUGGUUGUUUAGAAGGUUAGGCGAUUUGGCUGGAUGGAGGUGCGAGGCUUGUUCUUCAGGGGUUGUGAGCAGCUGGGUUUGAGAUGUACAAGGGGCAGUGAUGAGAGGCUGGGUUGAGGCUUGGAGGGGCUUGGUGAGGGUGUGAAAGAAGGCAGGGGUUCGAAGAUGGGCGAAUGGAGUUUGUCUAGGCUGUUGAGGGGGCUUGGUGCUUGCAAAAAAAAAAGAAUAUUCGACCUCCCUUUUGCCAAUGGUGCAUGUGAGUUUUAUUUGUGAGUUAAGGUUGCAACAGUCUAGGAUUCAACCGCUCCUCCAAGUUGCACAGUAGUGGCCAACAAGUUAUUGAUUACAAAGUGCAAGGUAGUGGCCAACAGGUUACUGAUUGUAUAGUAGUGCUUAAGAAUUUUGGCCUCAUAUGGUCUGAAUUGCCAGCAGUAUUUUUGCUGUUUUCUUUUUUUUUUUUUUUUUACUUUUUUUUGUUUUUAUAAUUUAAUUUUAAAUUUUUUAUAAUUUUUUUGUUAUUAUUCAAGUUUAAUUAAUUUAAUUAAUUUCAAAUAAAGAAAUAAAAAAAAUAAAAUUAGGGUUUUAAAAAUUAAUCUAGGCUUGAAAUUUAAUUUGGAUUUAAAUAUGAAGUUUGGGCCUUUAAGCUUGAAUAAUCAAAUUUUGAAUUGAUUUAAAUUAGGUUGAAUUUCAUAUUAUGCAAAUUGAUUUGAAAAUGAUUAAUCUAGGACAAAUAGGAAUGAGUUUAAUUUAAUUAAAUCCAAUAAUGUUAACCUAAUUUGAAAUGUUAAAAUCAAAUUAAAAAAAAAAUAAACAAAUUUGAGUUGGUGAUGAUAAAAUUAGGUAUUUAUAGUCUUUUCUUUUUCACAUAUUACUUUGAAUUAAGUAUAGGAUAAAGACAUAGAUGACAAUUUUGUUAGAUGUUAAUGAUUUAAAAUUUUUUUAAAAGUUUUUUUUUUUUGUUUUUGAUUUUUUUGGUUUUUCUUGGAGGUUUUACAAAUCUCAACAUUUUUAAAUGUUUUUCAUAUUAGAAGCAUUGAAAAUUUGAAAAUUUAAAAUGUUUUGUUUAAAUAUUUAUAGAUUAUACUUGAAAGUCUUAAAGAUUAUGUUCAAAAGUUUUAGAAAUUAUAUUCGGGGUUUUACAAAUAUUAAAAAUCUUUGAAUGUUUCUCAUAUUAGAUGCAUUAAAACUUUGAAAAUUUAAAAUAUUUUUGCUUGAAAGUCUUGAAAAUUAUGUUUGGAGAUCUUAAAGAUUAUGUUUGGAAGUUUUAGAGAUUAUGUCUGAAGGUAUUAUAAAUCUCAAUAUUUUUGAAUGCUUCUCGUAUCAGAUGCAUUGAAACUUUGAAAAUUUAGAUGUUUUGCUUGGAGCUCGUAAAGAUUAUGCUUGCAGGUCUUAGAGAUUAUAUUCGGAGAUCUUACAAAUCUCAAUAUCUUUGAAUGUUUUUUUGUAUCAAAAGCAUUAAAACUUUAAAAACUUAAAAAUAUUUUACAUUGAGGUUUUAAAAAUUAUGUCCAAAAGUCUUAGAGAUUUAGGUGCCAACUUGAUUUUGCUUAAUUUGAUUUGAGUGUUGUUAAACUGGGCUUAAGUAUCAUUUGGAUGUCAGAGAAACUAGGUUUAAAAUGUCAACUAAACUGGGUUUAAAUGUCAGCUAAAUUAGACUUAAUUUGCUAGCUAAGCUGGGCUUAAGUGCCGGUUAAUCUAAGCUUAAAAUGAUAGCUAAUCUGGGCUUAAAGAUCUAGGUACUAGCUUGACUGGGCUUUGUUUGAUUUUGUAUCAUAUUUGAUCUUUUUUCAUUCAUUUUUCAACAGCCCUUCCGUUUUUUUGCAAAUUAUUUUUCUUUCAAUUUUUCAAAUCUUUUUGACAUUUUAGUCUAUUGUCAAACACUUUUUUUCUUUUUUUCAUCUUUUUAUAAUAGACUUUUUUUUUUUUAUCUCUUUUUGUCUUUUUUUUUGUUUUUGUUAUUUUUCCUUUCUUUUUUUUCUUCUAAUAUUUACAAAGUUAACAAACGCAUUCAUGAUACAAACAUCUAUUUUUAUCAAAUGAUGUAAAUGCAAAUGUCAAUGCGAAUGUGAAUACAAGAAUACAAAUGCUUGAUGCAAAUAUAGGUGAUUUUUUCAUAAUACAAAUGUCAAUGUUCUUUUCAUGUAAAUGCCCUUACAAAUACUUUUUUUAUGAUGUAAAUGUAAUGAUGCAAAUGCAAAUGCUUUGGUUAUGAUAUAGCUUAAGGUGAUGUAAAUGCAAAUAUUUUUUUUGUUUUUACAAUAUGCAGAUCAAAUGUCUUUCUCAUGAUACAAAUGCAAAUAUUUUUUUCAUAAUGCACAUAAAGUAAUGCAAAUGCGAAUGUCUUUUUUAUGAUGUAGAUGUGAAUGUGGGUGCGAAUGUCUUUCUCAUGAUGCACAUGCAAGUGAUGCAAAUGAGUUUUUUUUUUUUUUUUACAACAUGCAAAUUAAAUGUCUUUUUUAUGAUGCAUAUGUAAGGGAUGCAACUGUGAAUUUUUUUUUUUAAUUUUUUUAAAAAGAUUUUUGUUCAAAUUUUCAAUGUUUACUCUUUACCACAAAUGAUCUCAAUAUUUUGUAUAAAAUGCUCAAAUAAUCUCUGAAUUUUUUUAAAAGUGAUCACAAAAUUAUCCCACAUAAAAUAUCUUCAUAAUCAAUGAGAAAAGUCAAAAACCCAUAACUUUCAAAUCUCUUAAAAAUUGAUGAUUACUAUUUGAAAUAUUUACAGAUGUGGGCAAUUGGCAAUUCAAUUCUUUUCAUUAGUGGGCAUAUAUCAAAGAAAGCUCAACAAGGGUUGCAAGGAUUACUUCUUGGGCUUAUGAAAGAGAUAAUUUUUUUAAAAUAUUUUUUUUAUUAAAAAUAUGAUAUUUCAAUAUGUGUCAAAAUUAACCAUUAUUUUUUUUCAAAAAAUAAUUAGGAAAAGCAAAAGGUUGAUUUUUUCUAUUUUCAUUCUUUAGUGAAAUUUAAAGUCCUUAAUGGGUAUUGAUCCUUAAAAAAGUUUUGCAUCAUGAUUUUUUAUUCUAGAUAGAACUUUAAAACUCUAAAAUUCUUUUAGGGAUUAAGAGUGCCUUUAGCUUUAAAUUGCUUUUUUAAAGUUUUCAAUUUAAAGUUAUAUUUUUUUAUCAAUGAAGAGCUUAAUAAAAUCUUGCCAAAUACUAACAAGUAUAUACAAAAUUUCAAAGACAUAGCUCUUUAAUUCAAGAGUUUUGCAUUUGAUCAAAAUGAACUUUCCAAGGUAUGUAAUAUAAGCCAAGGUUCAAGAUUCUAAAAGAAUAGAUAAAUAGGCUCAAAGUAUAUUAUUCAGGGUAAUUAGGCUAAAAAUCUUACAAAGCAUUCUCUAGAUGAAAAGCCAUGUAUUUUUUUCUUUACUCUUUCUUUUUUGAAAAUAUUUAACUUCAGCUAUAACAUUAUGCUUUCUUCAAUUCUAUCUCCAUUUUUUACUUGAGAUUCUAAUUGAUAUUUCAUUCAUUUUAUGUCAUGGACUCUUAUCUUCAAGGUGUUUGUCUUUCUUUUUUUGCUCUUUCUUGAAAACAUUUGACUUCAAUUUUAGCAAUCUACUUUUUUAUAUUCUUGGGAUUCUAAUUGUAACUUUAUUUACUUUUUGUCUUAGAUUCUCAUCUUCGAAGUGCAUAUCUUUCUUUCUUUGCCUUUUUUUUUUUUUUUACUUUUGCUUUUUCUUUCUUUUUUUCUUUUAUUUAUUUUUUUUCUUUUUUUUUUUGAAACAAUUGAUUUCAUCUUUAGCAAACUACUUUAUUAUAUUCUUGGCAUUCAAACUGAAACUUUAUUCACUUUUUACCUUAGAUUCUCAUUUCCAAGGUGCAUGUUAAACGCCUUUAAUAUCAAAUAUUUUUUUUGAAAUUGGUCUCUUAAAGAUAUUUUUAUUUUACCCUUAAUGUAAAAAGAAGAUCCUUGGUCGGCUUUUAUUUUGGAACAAAAAAUUUAAUAGGUUCAAAUAGGUAGUAAGUGAAUAAUUUUUCUAUACAUGAAAGAUAUAGAAAAAUGGUUAUUCAUCAUUUCAAACAUGAUCACUUGGUUAAAAAAACAAAUUAUUUGAAAAAAUAAAUAAAAAGUUUUUUUUUUAUUUUUGUGUUAUAACCAUCAAUCGUUUUUAUAUGACUGAUGUCUUAUUUUAUUUUUCACUCAAGGUUCUUAUAACAAUGAAAAUCAGGUUAUAUAAGCUGUUUCAAAUUUUAUUGCACAGUUCAUAAAAAAGUUCAUUUUGGUUCUAAACUGUCUGACAUUUUUAGUAAAAUGAGAGGAAAAUGUUAAUGCAUGAGACGAAUUGUCUUAGACGAGAAGAAAUUUUACUUCUUUUAGUAAAUGUGCCUUAAGACGUGAAACGUGUGCUAUUUAAGAGAAGGUUCAGGCAUUUUUCAUGUCUUAUCAAAAGAAUUUAAAUGAUUCAAUCAUAUUGACAAAAUUUAACACAUAUUGAAUUAUCAAUUAAAAAAUUUGAAAUAAUAUCUUAUUUGAUUUUCAAAAAAUGAUUAUUAUCUCAAUGUAUCAAAUGAUGCGAAAUGCUUAUUUAAAAAAAAAAUUGAUGAUUUUGAAAAUUGCUUUUAUGGGACUUUAUUCUCAAACAAUUACGAAUCAAUUUUUUUUUUUUUAUGUUUUAUAAAGCAGUUUUCAUUUAAUGAUUUUGAAAAUUAAUUUUGUGGGACUUUUAUUCAAACAAAUGCAUAUAAAAAAAAUUUCAUAGAAAAAUCCAAAGCAUUCAUUUCUCCAAAAUAAAUUCUAACAAGAAUAAUCUGAAUAACUCCUAAAGAUACAUGUCAUACACAAAAGAUCAAAGGUUCAAAAGAAAAUCAUCCUAUCCUGAUCUUUCAACACUCGAGACCUUCUUUCACAUUUCAACUCAUCACAUUUUGUAAUGGGAUAGAGUCAACUUCUAUUGUUCCAUUAGUUUUGGAGUCAAAAUACCACUUUUGAUAAAAUCCUUAACCUUUUCCUUCAACUAUUUGCAUUUUUUUAGUUGAAUAGCCAAUUGUUCUCAUAUGAUAAUCACAUUUGUCAUUAGGAUCAUAACUUUUUGUUGAUGGAUUUAGUAUUAUUUUCGGAGGCAUAGGAAUAAGGUACCGACCUUCUAUUAGCAAAGGUAAAAAAUGAGAAAUAGGGAUUGAAAGUUUCUUUUGGUCUUUUUUGGUUCUUUAUUGGUCAAGUGGUAGAUUUAAAUGUAGGAACAAGAUCGUAAAUGGUCAUCUAAGGAUAAAGAUUUGCCAAAAGCGCAAAUACUGGCAAAGAUAUAAGCUUUGAGAGAUUCUGCCUAUGAUAGGGAAGUGAGGUUGAUGAAGAGGAUAAAGAUUAAAUGGGAUGAAAUUUUUAGGUAGAUGCCCCUUAAAUGUGACUGCUUGCACCUUCUCUUCAUUCUUUUUUGAUGUAUUUUUUUCAAUAUCUAUUGUAUUUUUCAACUUAAUCCUACCAUUCUUGAUUACAUUUUCUAUCAUUUCUUUAACAAUCACCAUGUCAACAAAAUUUUUAGAGAUAUUUCCAAUCAUUUUUUUGCAACAGGAAGUAUUUAUAAAAAAUUGAUAAACAUAAUAGUGAUUUUGUUAUCUAACAAAGGUAAUUGUACUUGGGCUGUCAUGCCUCUCUAUUUGUAUGUAUAUUCCUUGAAAGUUUCAAUUGACUUUUUUUCUAUGUUCUGUAAGAACAACCUAUUAGGUACCAUAUCUUUAAUAUGCUUAUAUUAUGCUAAGAAAGCCCUAGCUAAAUCAUUUCAGGAAUAGAUCUUAUUCGGUCUAGCUGGGCAUACCACUUUGUUGCAGACCCAAUGAGACUAUCUUAAAAGCAAUAGAUCAAUAACUUAUCAUUGUCAUUUUUCGACAGUAUAUAGUGAUGUGUGCUCAAAGGUAUUUCAUUUCAUCAUACUUUUUCAAAUUUUGGAGUUUUAAAUUUUGAUAAAAUGACAAGAUCAGGCACUAAACUAAGCUCGUUGGCAUUAACACUCCCAUAUAUAUCAUGGCUUUUAAUUACUUUCAGUUUUUUUCCAACAAAUUAUAUUUAUCUUUUAUCACUAUAUCUUCUAAUGAAUCCGAUACCCUUUUUAGUUGCUCACAUACUUUAAGAUCUUCCAUAGUAAUGAGGUCGUAGGCAAUAAGCCUAAGAUUGACAUUUAUCUGAACUUAAGGUAACUUGGUAAAAAUAUCAAUAUAAAGUUGAUGAGUUACUAAAGAUGCUUAUGACUUAUGGGGGUAGUGAACAUAUGAAUUGCAAACCCAUGUGAAUAUGAUAGUUCUUCAAUAGUUGUUUCCUCACUUGCCCUAUGUGUUUUAACAAUUCUUUUUCCUUUUGUCAAAUAUACUAACGUCUAUUUUAAUUCUGCUAAUUGUCUGUCCAUGUUCUAUUGUAUUCCUAUAACUAUUUUCCUAAUCUCCUUGGGCCUUAUCCAUUUUGUCCAUCUGACUUGCAUUUUCAUUUUUCACGAUUUUGGUACAAGCUCAAGCAUUGUAAAUGCAUAAAUUUAACUGAUCUUGUUUCCUAGGAUGCAUUAUCCUUGAACCUUUUAUUAAUUAUCCAAUAGUCAGAAAUGCAUGACAUGAAUUUUGUUAUUAAAACUUUCAAAAGUAUCUCUUUGAAUUGAAGAUUCAACAAAAGUAUAUUUACAAUCAUCAUUCUUUUUCCUUAGCUAGCAUGAAAAACAAUUAAUUCAAACAAAUUAUGCAUAAUAUGUAAGUCAAAUUUUAUUAUUAUUGAGAAUGAGAUCAAAUUUUCUCUUAUAUUCAAGUUGGGUUAUUUAAGGACAUUCUUUUGUUUCAAAAGUUUGGUGAAAGAAUAUUUACAACCAUACUUUUUUUUCAUGGGCUUUUUUUGGUGUACCAUUAUUUCAAAAAAAUUAAAUGUAAACAAAGACAUCCAUUUAUAGAAAAUUCAAUCAAAAGAGGUUUUCAUUCAUUCCCAAAAGUUUCAAAUCCAUCUAUCAUGAACCAUCUUAGGACUAAGGCCAUAAAGUGUUAGACUUGUUUUUACUUCCCUUUGCCUUACCUAAAAAAUCCAAAAGAAAUUGAUUAUGAUUAUUGGUAGGAAUGGUCAUUUGCUUUAAGGCUUCUACUUUUUAUUCAUUAUCUUGGCCAAUUUUACUAUUGCCUAUAACACUGCUUGUUAUCUCGGUAUGGAUUGAUCAAGGAUUUUUGUAAACAAUUAGCUUCAUUUCAACAUCAAAACCUAAAUAUCUGACUUUCAUCAAUCUCUAUACCCUAUAUUUGAAAAAUAUACAAUCUUCCAAAAAAUGACUUACAAUGUCAAAAUGGUAUUCAUAUUAGGCAUUAGGGUUGUAUUGUUUAGGAUAAAGUGGUUUGAGGGGUUUAAUAAGGAUAAAGGCAAUGAGGUAGUUUUCUCGGAGCAAUGGGUAUAAAUCUGUGUAGAACAUAGGUAUUGGGUCAAUAGGGGUUUUUCUUUUGGUGUUAUGAGAGUUUUUAUGUUCUAUGGUUAGUUUGCUUUGUCGAAAAAGAAAGGUAGUAUAGUUGGUCUUGGAGUGAAUUGAAAAACUCUUGGUUAAAAAUUAGAUUGAAAAGGUGUGAUAGGAUAACAUAUGCUGAACAAGUGAUUAUAAAAUGUGAGGUGGUGGAUAUGAAUUUAGGUGUGAAAUUCUCGAAUGUUGCAUAAAGUUUAAAGGCUAAUCUUGGGUGCUUGAAAGGGAAGUUGAAAGCAAUCAUGACAAGGAUCUAAGUGAGGGUUUGGACUUAGGAUAGUUGGUAAGGGUUGUUUGAAGCUAGGUAACUCUAUCUUGAAAAUCAAACUUUUGAGUUCAGUUAUUUGUGUAACAAAUUCACCCAUUCCUUUCUUGAGCUCACCUAAACUUUGGUCAUUAUUCAGAUUAUCCAAUGCCUUAGUAUGCUCGAAAAAAGUGCUGGAACCAACAUGAGCCAGUUGAUAUUGAUUUAAUGGAAUCGAAAGUGAUAACGAUCUUUAAGGAACAACAAAUUUAACCACAACACCAUUUCUAUCAAUUGAGUAAUCUAUUGUUUCAUCUUUUGAAACUCGAGUCAAAAUUCUCUUGAUUCAACUCCAAUGCCCUAAUUCUUGUUUCCAAUUGAUCUUUCAUUUUUACCAUUAUAAUUCCCACCUAGAUAGAUAUUUUAUUAUGGGCCUUAGACAAAAAAUUCUAUAUUAUUACCCUUAUUGAAUGAAUGCCACAAAAAUAUUUUUUAACUUACAUAACACACAAAGCAUGUUUAUGAAUAUGAUGAUAAUGCCAAAAGAAUGUCAUGAAACAUCAAACUACCUAAAAUAAUGAAUUUUUAUAUGUACAGGCCCCAAAUACUAAAAAAUUUCUCAUCUAUAAAUGUGUAUGCAAGAAAUGUAAUGUUAUAUUAUAGGGAUGGUGGGUUAUGAAAUGCAAUAUAUGUUAUAUAAAACCCUACUAUUCAUGAAUCCAUAUGCAUGAAAUGUAAUGACAUACUUACAUAAGUGAUAAGAUAUAUUCCUACAACUAACACCACCUACUUGUAUGAAAAUGCACUAACCUAUCAUUUGCAUGAAAUAUGUCUUCAUGAAAUGCAAUGUAUAUGUUGUGUUGGCUUAAUGAGGUUGACAUUGCCUUAAGAUAUGUAAUGAAAUGGAGUACAUGCACCAUCUAUUAAGAUGCACAUGGGAUACAUAUAUCAUUUAUCAACACAUGCAUGAAAUUGAUUGCAUGUACUAUCUAUUGAUGUGAAUGAGACAAAAUACAUGUAUUAUCUUAUUAUUUUUAUUUUUUUAAAUAAUAAAAAUGUAUACAAAAAGAUCAACUAAAAAUGCAGAACAUGAACAACAUUCAAACUUACAAAUUCUAUUUUUUUUUCUUUUUUUUUUAGAAAAAAAAUUCACGAACACACAUUUUUUUAUCACAUAGAAUAACUAGAAUUAGAAGAUUUUUCUCUUUUUUCAUUAUUUUUUUAUUAACUAAUAAACAAAGAAUUUAAGAAAAACCCUUAUUUUUGAAAAAAAUUGUUUGUUUGUUUUUUUAAUGUUUGUUAGAUAAUGUUAAUUUUUUUUUCAUUUUAUUCUAAAAUAUUUUACAAAAAUGCAAAUAUUAGAUUACCACCAAAUGAAUGAACUACAUGCCAAAAGAAAAUUUUCUUUUCCCUUUUUUCAAGAAAAUGCUUUCUUUUAUUAUCUAUUUCUUUUAUUUUUUAAUUUUAAUGCAAAUUUGGGUUAUUUCUAUAAAAAGAGCGACAUGGCUUUAUACAAAAUUGGUCCCCUAAGGUUCACUAUAUGUUGAGAGAGGAUUUGAUUGUUUAAAGGUUCCCAAAUUGUUCUUCACUAGCAUCCACACAAUAUUACUAAUAAACCUCAAUUUUUACCUAUUAUAAGCUAUGAACAGAAAGGAUUCAAUUUAAGUGGGAACAUUUCACUUGUCAUUUCUAAGGUUAUCACCUCACGAGAGUAUAGGUACUCUACUUUUUCUUAAAAGGGACAGAGCUUGAAUAUAGAGUUCAUGCGUGAUAUAAAAUGUGCCAUCGUGUGCGUGAGAGAAAAUGAUAUCACAAUUUCUAUCCUACAUGCCCCAUAAUUUAUUAAGAAUAAUAUAUAUAAUAAUGGACAAAUGACAUAAUUUAAAUGAAAUGCUUGAAAUUUUUUAUUACUAUUGUUAUUUUAAAAAAUAAUAUCAAAAUAAAAAAAUUAAGGUUAAAUACCAAUUAAGACCAUUAAAUCAAAAUUAAUGAUAACACAUAAUUAAUUUUAUGGCCUGACUCUCUAAAAAAAAUGACUUCCCUAAUAGAGUUACCAAGCAGUCAUAACGGUUUUAAGGAUCACUAGAUGAAUUUAAAAAUAAAAAGGAGUCGUCACAAAUCUUUUUUGGUUACGUGCAACUGGCCACUUAUUAAAACUUAUCUGUUUAAUAAAAAUUUUAAAAUUAAUUAAAACUUUAUCAAAAAGUUAAUUUUUAGAUUUAUGAAAACAGUUUGAGUUCAUGAGUCAGUUACAUGUAGGGAAUGAUUACUACCCAUACACCGCUUGUUUAAAACGGUACUAAUUAAUUAUGUGUUAUCUUUUAAUUUUGACAACAAGAUCUUAAUUUUGGUAUUUAAAAAUUAGUUUUCUUAAAUUUUAUUACAAACAAUAUAUUUACUUUUUAGUAUUUUUUUUAUUUUUAAAAAAUAAAUACAAACCUUGCAUAAUGAAAAGUUUUCGAAAAUAUUUUAAUACUUUGGCAAUAUUAAUGAAAACUUUAUCACCUAAAGAAUUCUUAAGAAUCUUUACUUAAAAUUUUCAAACAUUCUAUUCUCAGUAGUUCACAUUUAUUAUCAAAACUUAUAUUUAAUAAGUAGAUUGUAGAACAUGAUAUUUAUAAUUUAAAAUCAAAUAAUAUUUUCUAAAAUUUAUUUUUUAAAACUAAAACAAGAAAUUGUUAUCGAAAAUUAUUCUAAAUUCUCUAAUAUAUUGGUGAUAUUUUAAAUAAAUUUUUUUAUCUAGAGAUUUUUAAAAAUCACUAUUCGAACUUCUUUAGAAUCUAAUCAUUGAAGAUUUUAUUUUUCAUUUUCAUUUUUCUUCAUCAUUUUUAAUAAUUAUUAAUAUUUAAAAGUUAUGCAAUGAUAUAAUCAUUAAUGAGAUUAUUUCCUAAAAAAUGCAUACUUUUAGAAAUAUUUUAUAUAUUUAUCUCUUAUCCUUUUUAAGAAAAUUAUUUAAAUUAAAGAAAAUAAAAAUCUUUGUAUUUAAAAAAGUUUCUAAAUAUUCUAAUACUUUGGUAAUUUUUUUAAAAAAAAUUUUCACAUAAAAAAUUCUCUAAAAUCACAACUUAAAUUUUUCGAAAUCCCAUCAUCAGAAAUUCAUAUCUACUCUCUAUUUCAUUUUUGUUCCAUCAUUUUCUAAAAAAAAUUAUUCUACAUUAUCAUGAAUCAUUUGUGAAAAACUUUUGUUUUUUUAAAUGCAACAUCAAUUAUUCGCAAACAAUUUCAUUUGUUUAAUACCAAAAUACAUAAAAAUAAAUAAAUAAACAUAUGAACAAAUAACACUAAAGCAAGAUUUACCAUAAGUUGGGCUAAGAUCCAAGUCAAAAUGAUGGGUUGAGGCAGAAACGGACCAGGUUGGGCUACUUAGAGGUAAGUGGGUUAGAACUUGGACCGGUUUGGAUCAAUAGUCGGAUCGGGUCGAUCAGGUCACGAGCCAGAUCUUGGUCCUGGACGAGUUGACUCGUCUUCAUUUCCUUUUUUUUUUUUUUCAAAGCUAUAAAAUCUUUUUUUUUAAUUCAUCAUUUUGCUUUUGGCUCUUAAAAAAAAGCCUAAUGGCCUUCUUUACAAAAUUUCAGAUCCUAGUGGCCUCGCCACACACACUACCACCAUUGCUGCCUGUUGUUGACUUAUAACUUCGUUUCUUCUUUUCUUUUUUUUUAACAUUCUUUCCCUUCUCCUUCUUUUCUUUCCCUUUUCUCUCUUUUUUUUUAAUAAAAAAGGGAGACUAACUUAUCUUUUUUUUUUCUUCCACAGGUUGUGGCAUUGCUUUUCCUCCAUCGCUGUUUCUAUCUCAGACGGUGGUGCCGUGGAUGGGUGUUUUUUUCUCCCACUUUUCUUUUUCGCAUAAUCUCUUUUCUCUUUUUUUUUUUUAUUUUUAACUGAAACUGAUUUUUUGCUUGUUGUUUUUGUUUCACAGAAUACGCUUGGCAUUGUGGCUCCUCCCUAAUGGGGAGAAUUGUAAAUUUUUUUUUAUUAUUAUUGGUUGUAACAGGUGUAAGGUUGGAUCUUUUUUUACGGUGGAUUUUGCUUUUUUUUUUGGAUAGUUUCUUGGUGAUUUUGGUUGAAGAAUGGGUUUAUGGAAAUGGAGGUUUGAUGGGUUUCGAUUGAAUCCUCUAGUAAUGAUGGAGGAGCUAAAAUUUUGGCUGGCUAAUGGGUUUUCGUAGAGGGCUGGUACUAGGAUCGUUAAAUGGGUUCAGGCAUAAAACUAGGUUGAAGGCAAGGGUUUAUAGUGCCAUAGUUGAAUAUGGGAAGGAUUGUUGUAUGCAUUUUAGAUGGAGCUAGUGAGAGUAUAGGUGAAAGCUAAGGCAGGGCUAGGUAUGCACCGUACGGGCAAGGGUAGGGAAUUAUAGGUGCUUGGCAAGGGUUGUGGAUGCCAGGUGGAGCUUAAGCUGGUUUCUAGUGUUAUUGGGUUGGACGUGACUAGUGCUGUUGGGUGGUGCCAAUUUCUAAGGGCUUGGGUUUUAUGGUAAUAAAUGCUUGGUGCUUGCAGCGGUGCUCUACUAGGGACUAGUUGUUUAGAGGGUUAGGAGAUUUGGCUGGAUAAUGGAGGUGUAGGGCUUAUUCUCCAUGGGUUGUGAGUGGUUGGGUUUUAGAUGUGCAAGUGGCAGUGAUGAAAGGCUGGGUUAAGGCCUGGAAGGGCUUGGUGUGGGUGAAAAAGAAUGCAGGGGUUCGAAGAUGGGCGAAUGGGGUUUGGCUUAGGCUGGUGAGAGGGCUUGGUGCUUGUAAGAAAAAAAUGGAUGUUCAACCUCCUUUCGCGAAUAGUGCAUGUGAGUUUUAUCUGUGAGUUAAGGUUGCAACAGUCCAGGAUUCAACAGCUCCUCCAAGCUACAAGGUAGUGGCCAACAAGUUAUUGAUUGCAAGGUGUAGGGUAGUAACCAAUAGGUUAUUGAUUGCAAGGUAGUGCUUGAGAAUUUUGGCUUCACAUGGCCUAAAUUGCCAGCGUAAUUUUUGUUGUUUUUUUUAAUCUUUUUUAAUUUUUAUAAUUUAAUUUUAAUUAAUUAUUUCUUUAUAAUUUUGUUUGUUAGUAUUCAAUUUCAAUUAAUUAAUUAAUUUCAAAUAAAGAAAUAAAAAAUAAAAUUAGGGUUUUAAAAAUUAAUUUGAGCUUGAAAUUUAAUUCAGACUUAAAAUUGAAGCUUUAGCCUUUAAGCUCAAAUAAUCAAAUUUUGAAUCAAUCCAAAGUAAGUUGAAUUCUAAAUUAUGCAAAUUGAUUUGAAAAUGAUUAAUAUGGGACAAAUCUGAAUGAGUUUAAUACAAUUAAAUUCAAUAAUGUUAACUCAAUUUGAAAUGUUAAAAUUAAAUGUUAAAAAAAAGAACAAAUUCAAGUUGGUUCGGACAAAGAAAUUGGGCUAAAGCUAACUUGAAGUCCCAAAGAAAAUUAACUUUGAAGGCCUGGUUUAAAUUAAACCUUGACAUGAGCUUAAAAUGAUAGGCUAAGUGAAUUGGGAUUGGGAUUUUGCAAUUUGGAGCAUAGGCUGUUGUAGACUAGGCCAAAUUAGGUUGAUAGUGGGUUUCAAAUUGAGUUAAAUGACCUAACUAAUUUCCUUCCCAAAAUGUCGUAGUUUUAAACCUCUAUAAAUCUUCACUUUUUUUGUUUUCUUCAUGUUUUCCUUCAUUCUUUUCUUUCUUCAAACCAAUUUCUCUAUCUCUAUCUCUAUCUCUAUGGAAGAAUGAAAGCUAGCUGGCCAUUCAAGCUAACCCAAAAAUCGAUGAACAUUAGUCAUUGCUACCGUCGUAAGUCACCAUAAGCCAUUGUGCUCCGCUAUCGAUUGAUCAUCGAUUUAGCCCAAAAUUCACCAAAAACUCAUCUCGACCUUCUCAUCUCGGCCCUGGGGUCAGUUCUAAUGAUGUAGAUCUAAAAAAGAAGUUGCGAUUUUUUCAUUGUUCAAUCACCAUUUUUCCCUAUCCCAUUUUACUGAUCUUUGAGUAUGGUGUUCCACUUCCUUCGUUCUAUACUUUUACCAUUUUUGAUCUCUCAAAAGUCUUCUCUACUGUGGGUUGUCACCAAUGCUGCCACUACAAAGAUAAAAAUUUAUGAAAACUCUUAUAACUUCGUAUUUACUUAUAUUUGAUUGUUGUGUUUUUGGAUUUGAUGAUAUUUUUGCUUGCCUUAUUUUUAUGGCUUAUUGAUAAUGUAUUUUGAUGGAGCUUAUUCUUUUUGUGGCUAGUGAGGUUGUCGAUGAUGAAAGGGCUAUUUUGGCUUUUACUUUAGUGGUUUGCUCUCUUGGAUUAUGGUUAGUAUUGUAAGUUGUUGUUGAUUGAUUGUGUUGGCUUUCUGUUAAGUUGUAAUUAAUAUCUAAGGGUUAUGUUGCAGAUGAUGGUUCAGCUAAACUAGUGGUAAGGGUUGGGUUAGGUAGUGGAAAGCAAAAACCAUGGAUUGGAGAAGAUUUUAUUGAACCAAUUGCUUUUCCUAUUUGGUUGAAUUAUGGUUUUUGUGGUUGAGUGAAUAUGGUGCGAAUUGUUGGUAAUGAUGGAUUAAGGUUGAUAAGAAAAUUGAGAGUAUUGGGUUAAAAAUGGCAAUGGUGAUUAUUUCUAGGUUUAGGGUGGUAGAAGGUAUGUUUUGGUUGAUGCUUUCUGUGCAAUUUCUCAUUGGUUGUAAUUGUGCUUUUUUGUGUAAUUUUCCAUUACUUGCUAUGUAAAUUCUCUAUUUCAUCUCUAAUUUCUCUGUAAUUAUCUUGCUUAAAUAAGUAACAAAAUUCAAGAUAAAAAAUCAUAUUUGGUUGAAGGGAUUUUGAUGCAUUAUCUUCUUUAAUUUCAACCUUAAUCCAAACAACUUUAUCCUUUAGCUUAAAUCCAAUAUCACAGUUUAUCAUUUUGUUUAUCCCUAAAAUAAAGAUAAUUACAAGAGUGAAUGGGCUUGGUCUAGUUGAAAGUACAGACUUAGCCCAAAACUCAAAUGGUAAAUCCAACACCAUACAGGUUAAGUUUUAAAGCUUAAUUCAAACUAAUUCUAAAUAACCUCGAAUAAAAUAGAGUGUUUACAGCUGCCUCUUUUACGUAUUUUUUGUGAAACAAGAAUUGUGCAAAGAUAUAGAUAUUUAUUACAUUGGGGUGUAGCUUAACAACAAUUACAAAUUCUUAAAACUUUAAAGAUUCACAAUCUAAAGUAUUCAAGAACUUCGAAUUUGACAAUUUGGAAUGCAAGUUGAAACUCAAAUAUUCAUAAAUUGAGUUUAAAUAAUCAAAAUUUUGAAAUUCAAAGGUUCAUAAUUUAAAUAUUCGCAUGGUUUAAAAAUUCACAAAUAUUGAAAAUUCGCAAGAAAUUUUAGAUUCUUCAAACUCACAAGAUUUUCAAAUUCGUAAGGCACUCAAAUUUGCAAGAAUUCCAAUUCAUAAGUAUUGAAGAUUCACAAGUAUUAAAGAUUCAUAAGAAAUUUUAGAUUCUUUAAAUUCACAAUAAUUUUCAGACUUGCAAGACGCUCAGAUUCAUAUUCAAGAGAUUCACAUCCAAAGUUCAACUUAGGGAUUCACAUCAAAAUUUCAAGGCUCACACCAACAUUUAAAGAUUCACAUUCAAACAUUCUAGAAGUUCACACCAAAGGUUAAGAUUUUUAUUAAAAAAAACUUCAAGGAUUCACUUUUAAGAUUUCAAAGAUUCGUAUUAAAAAAUUUUUAGAGAUUCAUACCCAAAGGUUAAAGAUUUUCAUUAAAAAACUUCAAGGAUUCACUUCCAAAAUUCACAUUAAAAAUUUUAGAGAUUCAAAUUCAAAAAUUUUAGAGAUUCACACUCAAAGGUUAAAGAUUUUCAUUUGAAAAACUUUAGGGAUUUACUUCUAAGGUUUUAAAUAUUCUCAUUUAAAAUUCAAAGAUUCUUAUUUGAAAAUCAUACUUAACAUUAAAAAUGCUCAUUUGAAAUGCUCCACAACUUUAAAAUUCUAAAUGUUUUCCUUAUAAAAUAUCUUCCUUAUUUGAGAAUUCAAAAUCUUAUCUUAAAAGGCUUUCUUCAAAAAGUUUAAAAUUUCUUCUUAUGAAAAUUUUCAAUCUCAUCAUAAAAGUCAAAAUUUUAUAUAUAAUGAAUGCCAUGCAAAUGUUUUCUAAAUGAUAUAAAUGCAACAAUUCAAAUUCUCACUAAAUAAUGCAAAAAUACAUGUCCUAAAGAAUAAUGCAAAUGCUAUACUCUAAAUAAUGAUUCAAAUGUUCACUGCAUGAUACAAAUGCUUGUCCAAAUCAUGAUGCAAUUAUCAAAACAAAGAUAUAAAUAUUCACCAAAUUAUGUACAUGUAUUGUGCAAUCAACAAUUUAAACCCACUAUAUGUAAUACAGAUGUCACUAAAAUCUAGGCCAUGAAAUUUUAUUUAUGGUAAUAAAGUUUUCAAGACUAUAGCAUUUCAUACUUUUUCCUUUUUAGCUUCUAAGCACUAACACUUUCUGAACAAAUUUCAUUCACUGAUCCAUAUUAUUUCCAUUAUCUGGUCACAAUGCAUAGGUUAUGUUGACCAAUCCAUCACCAUAUUCAUCACUUAUUGACCCCAUUUGCUUUUUCAAAUCGUUUUCUCAAGUUUCUUUCAUUUUUUUUCAUUUUCUUUUUGCCCCUGUCACCCUGGAUUUCUUUUUAAAGGAAUGCAUGAAUCUUUUAUAGACAUUAUCAUUCAUUCAUUCAUUAUCAUUUCAAUUCAUAACAAAUAUAAUGCAAUCAUAUAUUUUUUUAAUUUAUUCUAGGGAUGCAAAAUUGAGAGAAGACAAGGUGAAUUAAAAGAAAAGGUAACAAAUACAAGAAUGAGUCUAGUACAAAAACACAUAGGCAAAUAAACAAAUUCAAAGCAUGUCACUAGGAUAAGUAUUUGAAUGGUAAAGCAAUAUCCAACAAUAAAUAUUUAGACAUUUUUAACAUUAAUCUAGAAUUUUUUUUUCAAAAACUCAUUCCAUUGACUUUUAAAAUCAUUUUCAGCUCAUUAAACUUUGCCUUUAGUUUGGAGAAUCUUCAUAUGACAUUAGUCUUCCACAUAUUUGUUAGCUCAGAUGUUUUUCUACCCAAAUCUCUCCUUCGAGUUUUCAAGUUGAGUAUUCUUUUUCUCUUUUUUUAUUUCUUUUUAUUUUUUUUCAUUUCAUCCAUUAUUAAUAUCUCCCACACAUCAAUUUAUAAAACAUGAGAAUAUAUCAUGAUUCCAUAAUUUCAUUACAAGUACGCUUCAGCUCAAUAUAUGAUCAUUCAAUUCAAGUAUUUAUAUUUGAUUAAAAUAGACUUUUAAAGAUUGUAAUGUAGGUUAUGGUAAGAGAUCAUGAAAAAAAUGGAUAAAAUAGGCUUAAAGCAUAUACUUAAAUGGUUCAAACCAAAAGAUCAUUUCUCAUCAUAUAAUGCAACUUGGCAUUUUGCCUCAUUCCACAUCAUUUUCACAUUUUUCUUUUUCAUUCAUCUUAUUUUUUUAUAAAAGAAUUCUAAUUAUUUUGCUCCAAGUCAUUUGUGGCAUUUUUUUUUUGUAAAAAAGGUUCUGUUUUUUUUUUUUCCUCCCUAUCUUUGAUACCUUUUAUAAUCUUUUGCAUUUUUCUUUUUUUUUUCAAAUAGGUUUCUUCCCAAAUUUUACCCUCUAGUGUGGAAGGUGAUCUUUGACUGGGGUUCUUUAAAAAUAAAAAUUAUAAUAGGCACAAAAAGGGUAGCAAUAGAUAAUUUCAUUUUUAUGAAUGUAAAAGAAAUAUUGUCAUUUUUCAUCUCGAAUGUGAAUACUUUCUUUAAAGAUCAUUUAUUGAACAAAAAAAAACUCAUAGAUCGUUAUAAAGAACUGCAUGCUUUCAAGAUAUGUCUAUUUCAUAUCUACUAACUAAUUUUAACUCUUUUCUGUUCUUCAUAGAUCGAGUUUAUCAAUGUAAAAAAAUUUUCAAAAUUAAAUUUCAAAAUUAUUGUUAUAAUUGUCUAAACAUUUAUCACUUGGAAUUUGAUAAUGGGCAUAAAAAAAUACAAAAAAUAACAAAGAAUAGAAUAGUGGUUUGGAUGAAAGGAAAAAUGUAAUGAAAUGCAUCAUACUUACCCUUUUAUUAAAAUUAUAAAAAGUAAAAUCUUAGUGCAUAAAAAAAAUCUUAACAUUACUCUAAAAGAAAUCCAAAAAUGAUAAACAACUUUUAACCAACCUUUUUGUAUCCUUCCCUAAAACUAUAUCUUUAAGUGAUUAGGCCAAGGAUUUUUAUUGAUAUUCAGCCUUCCUAAUUCCUCGAAACUCACCAAGCUUACUUAAAUCAAAAUUUGUAUCUUGUGUUUAAAAAUAGGACAAGUUUCUAUAAAGUAAUCCAUAUUCCUAUUAUGGUAAUUAUAUGUAGCAUUAACAUCAUAACAUUUGGGAUAAGGCUUUAAUGGUUCUAACUAGACUUUAGGUACCAGGUUAUUCUUGAUCAAUUCUAGGAAUAACUCAGUAUAAGUCAGAGGAAUAAGAUCAAUACAAGCUCUUUUUUGGUUAUUUUAAAAUCUCUUUAAAUCAUUUGCCUUGAAGCUAAUGUGGUGAUAUGAGUAGGCUUAUAUGCAAGUAUUUGAAAGGUUGAUUGUUAAGUUAGUGGAUAAACUAGUUAUGAAAUAGGUUGGUAAGAGGCUUACGCAACACUAUUAACUAUAGGGUAGUAAGCAAGAUGAACAUUUGAUGGAUAAGGAGUAUAGCUUAUGAAUUAUUGCCCCUUAAAAUUCACAACUUAAAUAGGUGGUGGAUAGAGAGCAUAGUUUAUGAAUUAUUGCCUCUUAAAAUUCACAACUUAGACUUCAAUUUUUUUCCUUUUAGGCAACCCUCAUUUCUUGGUGGUUUCUUCUUCCUAAAGUUUGUUACUCUUGAUAACAUUCUCAAUAAUUUCUCUUGAGAUUAUCAUGUCAGCAAAAUUUUUUGUUGCAUUCCCUAUCAUCUUUUUAUAAUAGGGUGCCUUCAAGGCGCUCACAAACAGCAUUGUAAUUUUUUUUUUAUUUAAAGGUGGCUAAACUUGGGUAACUACAUCUCUCUACCUUUUGGUAUAUUCUUUAAAUGACUCAGUCACCUUCUUCUCUAUACUCUGUAAAGAAAAAUGAUAUAAAGCCAAGUAUAUGAUAUGUCAGUACUGGGUAAUAAAUGCCUCUGUUAAUUUUUUUUACCAAGCAAUACGAGCCAUGUCUAGUUAAACGUAACAUUUAACAACAAAGCCAAUAAGGCUAUCCUAGAAUACAUGCAUUAACAAUUUUUUAUCACUAGUAUAGGCAAUUAUUUUUCGACAGUACAUGAUAACAUAAGUUAUAAAAUAUUGUGUACCAUCAUACUACUCAAACUUUGAGACCUUAAAUUUUGACAAGAUUAUUACAUAUGGGACUAAGCAUAAGCUGGUUGCAUCCAUUGAGCCAUAGAAAUCCAGCCCCUCGACUGUUUAUAAUCUCUUCUCCAACAAGUUCAUCUUAUGUUCAACUUAUGAGCCUUUUAAAGCCCAACUACCUUUAGCUUCAGCUUCUUUUUCUUUUUUGGAUCAUCUAAGUCAAGAACUUGGAUUGAUUCUACUCCUUUUUCUACAAAGGCAGGAUUGACAUAACUUUGAAAAUGCAACCUAAAUUAAUGUGAAAGCCAUUCUAGGGUAGCUAUAUCUUACCGAAAAUGAAAAUUGAUGUUGAGGAAUUUCUUGAGUGGAUAGGCUUAAGAUGGACCAUACCUAAGAAGGUUUAAAGGCUUAACAAUAUCCUGUGAUGAUGGAUAGUUUUUAGGGUUGGCAUCUUCUUUCACAGCUUUUCCCUUAUUUAAUUUAUUUAGGGUAUUAAAAAUUUUUUUCAACUCUCUUCUAAGCUUUUCUUGGACCUUUUCUAUCUUUUCAAAAUGAUAGGUAUUUUUUUACUCUAUUUAUCUAGCUUGGGCUCUAAUGUUGUAUUGAUAGUGAGUGGGUUAAACUGGAUUUUUAGACGUUAGAGCUAUCUUUGAACAUUAUAUACCACAAUUAGCAUGCUCAUAUUAUUAAAUGCUUAAAAAUUUUCAAAACCUAACUUGUUUAAGGAUCCUAUAUGCAUGAAUGAAUGAAUACAUUGAAUGUUUGGCACAACAAAUUAUGAUGAAUAAACACAUGAAUGUAUAUACAAUAAUGUAUAAAUGGAUAAAUAAAUGCAUGUGUUAAUGUAUUUUUAUAUUAUAAUGCAUAGAUGAAUGCAUAUGUUAAUGAUGUUCUAUCAAAAUAUGACAUACAACAACUUAACAAUAAAUAAUAGAUCAACUAAAAUUUAAUAUAAAUUUGGUACAAAUGAAAUUCAAAAAAUCCAAUUAUAUGUCCUAAGUAGGGUUACAUUCUAAUAAUUUGGAGACAUGGCUCUAACCUAAAGUUAACUUUUUAUGUUUUACUACAUACGGUUUGGGUUAACUCUAAAGGUUUUCAAAUUAUUUCACACAUCAUUGUCCAUCACAGACUAGUACGACACUCAAAUUCUCACCCAUUAUAAGUUAAAAAUAAAAAAAAGUUCAAUUUGAGUGAGAGCGUUUCUCUAACCCAAGCGGAGGCAUGAAAUCUCACAAGAGCAUAAGUAUUUUAUUCUCUCAUAAGGGACAAAGCUCAAGUGUAUAGCUCAUGUUAUAUAGAUAUAAGUGAAUGACAGAAUAUGGUAUAAUUCGAAACAAAAAAAAUUCAAAAAAAAUUAAUAAUUUUAACUUAGGCUUUGGAUAACACAAGUUUACUAGCCUAACUCUCGACAUAUCCAGUGGAGUUGCUAAAUUGUUAUAACGUAUAGAUCCGUAAAUCUAUCAUUAGACUUAACUUUAAGGAGUCGUCACCAUUUUUUUAUUUAUUUAUGUGCGAUUAGCCAUUUAACUGAAUUUGUUUCAUUUUAAAAAGAAGUCCAAAAUUUGACUCAAGUAGCUUUAAAAAGUAUAUUCUAGUCUACGAAAUUAAAUCUAGUUUUGAGAGUAUGGUUACACGUAGGAAAGGUUCUAGCACUUCUAUAACACCUAUCUUAAAAAUAGCACCAGUUUAAUCUUAUAUUAUCCAAAGCCUUAAAAAUCUUACCAAAUAAUUUGUUGUUGAAAAUUGUCUUAAAAUUACUCCAAUAUGUUGGUAAUAAUUUUAUGAUAUUUUUUCACCUCAAGAGUAUUCAAGAAAACUAUUUGUCAUGCUUUGAAGAGGCUUUAUCAUCGGGUUUAUUUAAUUUUCUAAAAACCUUUAUUUGUUAUAAGUAGUGUUUUUGUGAGAAUCUUAAUAUUGAAAUUUUUUUUAAAAUUCUCCAAUACAUUGGUAAAAUUUAAAAAGAAUAUCUCACUUAGGAAUUUAUAUAAAAAAUAUUUUUUUUUGCAACAGUUUUAGUAAUUUAAUAAUCAGAGAUUCAAAAUUGAUUUUCAUAAAAACACUUUAUUUUAAAAAACAUCUUUCAAUAUGUUAGUAAGACUUUCUAUCAAAAAUUAUUCUCCAAUAUAUUGGUAGGAUUUUAUAAAAACUAUUUAUUUUUUUUAAUUUAACUUUAUUUGAAAAAAAAUUAUAAGAUUUUUCAAUAUAUUGGUAAAACCUUAUUUUGAAAAUAAGAUUACAAGCCCUUUAAUAUGUUGGUAAAGCUUUUUUUUUUAAAUUAUUUUUUAAAUAUCUUUAAUCAAAACAUGUAGAUAAUAAGCAAUGAAAUAUAUAAAUAUAUAUGAUAAAAAAAAAGUUAUACCAAUAAUUAGGUUAUAUAAAAAAAAAUCAAAACAUGUAGAUACCAAUUUGAAGUCCAAAAGAAAAUUAACUUUGAAAGGCUGGCUUAAAUUAAACCUUGACCUAAGCUUAAAAUGAUAGGCUAAGUGAAUUGGGCUUGAUAUUCUACAAUCUAGAGUGUGGGCUAUUAUAGACAGUGCCAAAUUAGGUUAGAUAGCGAGUUUCAAACUGGGUCAUUUGACCCAACUAAUUUUUUUUUCAAAAUGUCGUAGUUUUGGACUUUUAUAAAUCCUCACAUUUUUUCUUCAUUUUUUCCUUCUUUUUUCUUUCUUUAUAAACCAAUUUCUCUGUCUCUCUCUCUAUGAAAGAAUGAAAGGUGGCCGGUCACUCAAGCUAACCUAGAAACUAAUGAACAUCCAUCGUUGUUGCCGCUAUAGGUCAUCAUCGACCACCUCACUCUACCGUUGGCCAACCAUCGAUUUAGCACAAAAUUCACCCAGAAGCUUAUUUUGGCCUCUUUAUCUUGGAUUUAGGGUUAGUUUCUCACAAAUCACCUUCCAAUAGUGUAAUUCAAUCACCUUUUUUCCCCAUCUGAUCUUGUCAAUCUUUGAGUAUGUUGUUCCACUUACUUUGUUCUACACUUCUAUCAUUUUUUAUGUCCUAAAAGUCCUUCCCACCAUGGGUUGUCACCAGCACUACCACUACCAAGAUAAAAAUUUGUGAAAACUCUUAUUAAUUCAUAUUUACUAAUAUCUAAUGCUGUGUUUAUGGAUUUGAUGACAUUUUUACUUGCCUUUUUUUAUGGCUUAUUGACAGUGGAUUUAUAUUGGGUUUAUUCUUUUUAUGGCGAGUGAGCUUGCCAAUGAUAGAAGGGUUAUUUUGGCUUUUACUUUAAUGGUUUGCUCUUCUAGAUUAUGGUUAGUGUUGUGGGUUAUUGUUGAUUGAUUAUGCUACCUUUCUAUUAGGUUGUAUUUGAUAUAUGAAGAUUGCAUUGCAAAUGAUGGUUCGUUUAAACUAGUGGUGAGGGUUGGUUUAGGUAGUAGAAGGUAGAAAGCAAUAAGUUGAGGGAGAUUUUCUUAAGUUGAUUACUUUUCCUAUUUGGUUGAAUUGUGGCCUUUGUGGUUGAGUGAAUGUGGUGCGAAUUAUUGGUAAUGAUGAAUUAAGGUUGAUAAGGAAGUUGAGAAUAUUGGAUCAAAAGUGACAAUGGUGGGUUUAAGGUGAUAAAAGGUGUUUUUUGGUUGAUGCCUUUUGCGUAAUUUCUCACUAGUUGUGAUUGUGCUUUUCUAUGUAAUUUCUCACUAGUUGCUAUGUAAUUGCUCUGUUUUCUAUCUAAUUUAUGUGUAAUUUUCUUGCUUAAAUAAGAAAUGAAAUUCAAGAUCAAAAAUCAUAUUCAGUUAAAGGGAUUUUGAUGCAUUAUCUUCUUUAAAUUCAACCUUAAUCCCAACAACUUUAUCUUUUAGCUUAAAUCCAAUAUCAUAAUUUAUCAUUUUGUUUAUCCCCUACAAAUAAAGAUAAUUACAAGAGUGAAUGGACUUGGUAUGAUUGAAAGUCCAAACUAAGCCCAAAACUCAAAUGGUAAACCUAACACCAUACAGGCUAAGCUUUAAAGCUCAAUUCAAACUAAUCUUAAAUGACCUCGGAUAAAAUGAGAUGUUUAUAAUUGGCUAAUGGGUUAUAGUAGUUAGUAUAGCCAUGAUCAUACAGCCAUGCUAAUGUUUUAUAAUAAUUAUCGUAAGGUCCCGGCUAACGGAUUAUAAUGUUAGCAAUUAUUAUAAAGAUAAAAUUGUCAAUACAACCAAUGUCAUAGGUUAGCAGUGAUCGUAACUAGUGAUAAACUAAUGAUAAUGAUAAUUUAUGAUAAUGAUUUUUAAAUAUGAUCCAUGAUUUGAUUUUAUUACGAUAUUUGAAUGACAGCAUAUUUUGUAAUGAUUUAUGAAUUGACAUGUUAUAAUAUUGAUUUAUGAUCUACAAAAUGUUUGACAUAAUGAUGAUUUUUGAAAUGUUUUGACAGUAUGAUUUGACAAAUAUUUUGAAUGAUUUAUAUGUAUGUAUGAAAACAAUGCUUGAUCUGAUAAAGUGUGUGAGCCUAUACUUACUAAGACGUGAUUUGCUCAUUCCUCUUUUUCUUUCUCUUUCUAGAUGAAUAAGUGAUAAGUUUCCUUAAUUUUAUGAAAAGCUAAAAAAUCAAAAUGAAAAAGAUUAUUUAGUCGUUGUAGAUAAAGUUAGCCAAUUAGAUCUUAUGAAAUAGUUUUGUAUUUUUAUUAGUUUGUAUUUGGAUAUAUGAAGAUUUAUUAUCAGUUUAUUGAAGAAUUUUAGAAUGAUUAAAAGUAAAAGCUUCAUAUUACUUUAGAAUUUUAUUUCAAGGUAAUAUGAUCGUAUUACAUCUCGGUUCGAGGGCAUAGCAAUAGGUUAUCCAUGUAAAAUAAUUUUAAAAUAUUUAACAUAAUUCACUCGAUACAUUUUUAAUUUUAAUUAAAAAUUGUUGAUUUAUUAUAUUUAAAAAUUUACUUUUAAAGCACUAUAUAAUUCUAUAUUACUAUAUCUUAACAAUUUUAGUUUUAACAAUUUUAAUGCUAAUCAAUUGUCACACCUUCAUCCAAAAAUUUAUAAAAGAAUCUCUAAUGAAAAAAAUUUGUAUUAGAGAUUGAUUUUGAGAUGACGAAAUUUUAGUUUCUGGGAAUCAAAAACAUGAUUGACUAUUGUUUAGACAUUACUUGAAUUCAAUAAACUACAAUUUGAAUUUUCUCUAAAUUUGAUGAUAAUUACAUAAAUAUAUCAAAUGUAUAAUUAAUUUAUUUAUUAUAUUGAAAUAUACAAAAUUUAAAUAAAAAACUAAUUAUAUAAAGUUUGAAUUAUACAUACACUUAAAAACUUAUAUUAUCAAAAUAAAAAAAAUUAUAUAUAUAUAUAGAUUUAUUGAUAUAUGAAUAUACUCACAUGCAUCGCCCGGGUUUAAAAUUAGUAUAUAUUAAUGUACAUUGAACAAACUUUUAUGUUAACAUGCAUUUUAUUUAUUUUAAUUAUUUGUAUAAUAUAUAAUUAGUUAUUGAUUUAUAAUUAUUAGUUUUAUAUUAACAUUAAAAAUAACUAGAAUUAGUCAUCAUUAUGUUGAGGUAGAUUAAUUAUUUUAAUAUAAAAAUAAUAAAAAUUAAGUAAAAAAAUAUUAUAAAAAUUAAAAUAAUAUAUAUAGUAUUACGUAUAUUAUGAUUACGAUUUUUUAUUAUUUUUUCUGGUUAUAUUAUAAGUGUUGUAUUUUUUAUUACUUAGUUUAAGAGUUUUUUUUUUUUUUAUGAAAGAUAUCGUAAUUUAAAAAUAAAAAAAUGUAAAGAUUUAAAAUUUAAAUUUAAUGAAUAUAAGCACGGAACAAUUGAAUUAAAUUUGAAGUUUUUUUUUUUUUAUUUGUAUAAAGCGUGUAAUAAAGUUAAUAUAAUGUACUCAAACACUUUUGCCCCUGUUCCUUGAUCAUUUAUGCUUUUAUACAUCCAACGAAAAAGUAACACUGGCUCGUAAGACAAUUAUUUUGAUCUAAUAUUCAUCUUGGCUGAAAUUACCUCAAAUAUCAUAGAAGCCUCUUUCUGAGUUCGAUCUCCCCUGAUGAUGUAUACUUGAGAUAUAUUUAGUUUUAAAUCUUUAAAUUAUAUUUGAUACAUAAGAUUAUGAUAAAAUAAAAUAAAAUGAUAUUAUAAAUAUGAUUAAAUUAAAUAAUAUGAUCUUAUUUUAUAUUUGAUAUAUGUAAAGAUUAUGAUAAAAUAAUUUAUUUAUUAUCAAAAUUAUCUUUUCUUAAAGUUUAUAUUAUUUAAAUUAUUGAUAUAAUUUCUAAAAAUUUAAUUAGACAUAUAAGUUUAAUCUUAUAAAUUAAAAAUAAUCAUCUUCACUUAAGGAAGAUUGAAUAAUCUUAUAUCAAGAGGAUAUUAAUCAUCUUUAUAAUCCCUAUCUCUCUUUUAAAUACAAAUCAAACAAGAUAUAAGAUAAUUAUCUAUCAUAUCAAUAAUUUUACAUAUCAAACAUGACCUUAAUGAUCAAAUCCACGUAUGGAAUUACUUUGCCAAAGGUGAGGCACUGGCAGGCAGUAUACGUUGAACAUACAUCAAAUCUUAUUUGUAUAAAGCACAAAUAACAGACCAAAAAAGAUCAAUACGUACCCGAUUAAUAACUCGAUCUUGAAUGCUAUCAACAAUCUUCGAGGUAUCAUGUCCUCCUCUUGAUGUUCCAAGGUUGGUACCACCACGUUUAUGGAUGUCAUUUACAACUUUUGGUGCCAAAGGAAUUGUGUUUCGAGCAUAAAAAACUUUGUAUGCUAUCUACAAGAAAAAAUUGGACCCAACUAUUAAAUCAACUACACCAGUUAAUCAUCUGAAAUAAAUGAAUAAAGGAUGCUCUGCAUACACUUCAAUCCCACCAACUCUAGUGACGCCAUACAUGUGGUAUAAUCCACAAAUAAUUUCCCUAAUCACGAUAUUUAGACCAGGGCAUAGACCACCACAUGUUACAUACAUGCAUCAACUUCAUCAGAUUCAAAGUACACGUGAAACCAUAUAACAAAUGAACAUCACUGUUUCUGAAUUUGAAUAAGAAUAGGAAACCCCAAAACUAUUAAAUUUAAGAAAGAAAAAAAAAAAAAACUCCAUUUUCAAACCUUCUGACGAGGCCCCGCUCACCUGAAAUGGGUUCCUCUUUGACUAUCUUUUUGAACGACAAUCUGUGCGUAGAAAACAGAAAAGCAUAUUCAGACGCAAUGGUAAAAAUUGCUGUGACGCAAUGGUAAAAAUUGCUGUGAUGCAAUGAGUUCAAUUUGUAGACUAAGACAAGUAUGGAAUCCUCCAUAAAAAUAGGUUCAUUUCCCUUGUUUUUAUGAAAGUGAUAUAUUUUGAUGCAGAAAAGUAAAGAGAACAAAAUUUUUUUACCUUCUGGGCAACUGUUUCAUCAACAUUAACGAAUUUCUACCUGGUGAAACAGAAAAAUUAAUUUCAUGUAAAAAACAAAAAAAUCAUUUAAAAGAAAAUGCCUCGGCAAUCAGAAUAUUCCAUGAAACCAAAAAAAAACCAUACUUCACAACUGAAUAUGCAGUAUUGUCUUGCAACGGAUUCGGAUAAGUCUGCCCCAGUUUUUUUAAAAAAUGAGAAACAGAGCAUGAAUUUUGGGUAAAUAAAAUUUUUUUAAAAAAAUUUUUGAUUAGCUGCUUUCAAACAGCCUUAAAGAUUAUAUAUUAGUAAUAAAUGGAACCAUAAGCUGACCAGUUUAUGCUUGAAUUUUCUCUAUAAAUUUACUUUACGUUUACUGUUUUCUUUGAACUUUCAUAUAGAAACCGAACAAGUAAGAGAGAGAAAGUUCUUUUAUAUUUACAGGGAGGUUAUGGAUAUAAUCAGACGAGUGAGGAACAUCUUCUAGAAGGUAACCACAGUCGCCGAUGACGAUUUGGGCUUGGUGGUGGUGGUUCUUGAAUUGCCCAUUACGUCGGUGGUGUUGGUGUUGCCACCCCUGGGACUUCUGAAGCAAGAAGGCAAGGUGGAGUCAUAGCAUCGGUGAUCGGCGGUUGUAGGAUAAGUGUUGUUGGGGUCAAAGCACUGGAACUUGGGAGUAAUGAAUGAAGCAGAGCUGGAAAUGGAAUCCUUGACAGAGGAAGAGAGAGGUAGGGGAAUCCAGUGUGCGAGAAGUGGCGCGAAGAAUGUGGAGGUAUCUGUAGCUGUCGAUUAGAGGACACAUUGCGGAUUGCUCGGUAAUAUAAAAUAGAGAAAGAUUGCCGUGAAGUAUCACAGUAAAGCUCAUAAAUUUUUUUAUUAAAAAUGAGUAAAUAAAAAUUUAAAGUAAAAAUUAAAAUUAAAAAAUUUUACUAUAUAAGUCAAGCAUGUAAAAUUUUAAAAAAAUUAAUAUAUUUUAAUAUAUUUAUUAAAUAAAUAUUUUUAAUAAAAAUAUUAAUAAAUUUUUUAACGUUGAACAAAUAUAUUAAUUUAAAUUAUAAAUAAUUUUUUUAAUAAUUUUUUUUACAUAUUAUUAAUUUUCAUAUUAAAUAUUAUUAAAAUUUUUUAUUAAAUUAUUUAUUUAUUUAUAAUAAAAAAUUUCACAAAUUUCAUUUAUAAAAUUUCAUAUAAGUUUUAUCUUAUAAAAUAAAUGAAAAUAAUACUACGACUAAAUAAUUAAUUAAAUAUUAGCAAUAAAUUUUAUUUUGUUUUAUUUUUCUGUUAAAUACAUAAGUUUCUAAUUUCUUUUAACUAAUACUUGGAGAUUUUCCUGCAAGUUGAAAAGGAGGCAUGAAGAAGGUGUAAGAUAGAAAGGAGGGUUUGGCAAACCUAUGAACAUGUUUUUUUUUCCUUUUUUUGGUAUUUGAUAAAUUAUUAAUAUAAUUUUUUUAAUUUUAUAAGCAAAAUUAAAAGAUUGAUAUAUAUUUUAUUUUUAUAAAUAUAUCUUAAAAGAUAUAUAUUAUUUUAUUAAUUUUGUUUAAAAAAUUUAAAAAAUUUACUAACAAUGUAUAAAAUAAUUUUUUUUAAUUAUAUAAGAUUUCAGACUAAACCUUAAUCUUCCAAUAUCAGUAUAUAGAUAAGUAUUUAAAAACAUUUUUCAUUAAUUGAUUAUUGACUAGAGUUGAGUAGAAUUUGCUCUCUAACAUAAGAAAAAAAAGUAUUAAUUAUUAAUGUUUUCUGAUUCAACAUUUAAGACAAAAGCGUUAGGCGUGUUAAAUCGACAACAUCAUUCAUUCAUAAUAAGAAAUUAAUACUAGUAAAGUACAUUUAAUUAGGAAGCCCCCAUGGCAUGAUUUCAUGAGUGUAUCCUAACGUAACCAUUCAUUCUGGAGAAAAUUAAGAACCAUCCUCCACACCGUUUGGCUUUCUUAUAAAAAAAUUGCUGAUAGUCAGACCAUCAUUUAAUUCAUUAAGGUGGCUAUGGAAAUAAUAUUUUAUUAUAAUCAGGUUCGUGUUUUUGUUGUAGGAUUUUAUUUUUUAAAAUUUAUUUUAAAUAUAAGAGAAAAUUUUUGAUAUCAAAUUUUAAUGAUAAUAUAUAAAUAAAUGUAAGUGUAUUUAUUUUUUAAUAUAAUUAUAAUUUAAUUACAAAUAAAUACAUUUUUUUAUUAAAUUAGUAUAUUAAAUAAUAUAUUUAUUAAUAUAAUACAUAUUUAAAUAUAAAUUUAAUAAAUAACAAAAUACAUUCUUUUAUAUAUUCAAAUAAGAGUAAGGAUAUAAUAUUUAUAGUUUAGAAUGUGUUACAUCUCACAUUGAAUAAAAAAAUUAUUUAUAUAUAAUUUAAAAGAGAUUAUUUAUGUUAUUUAAAUAAUUAAUCUAAGUGUUGAAGUGAGUCAAAUCAUUUAGGCUUAUUAGAGUUUUUUUAAUGAGUCAAAUAAUUUUAAAAAUCAAAUAUAGGCACUUGGUAACUUUAGCUUAUUUAGUAAAUAGUUAUUUUUUAUUUUUUUAUUUUGAAAUAUUAUUAAAAUAUUAUUUGUAUUCUAAAUAAACAUAUUUGAAUAAAAAAAACAACAUAAUAGUCCAAAAUAUGAUUGUUUAAAUAAAAUUUAUUUAAACAAAAAAACAUGACCAUAUAAAAUAUCAUGACUUUUUGAAUUAGUUUGUUUUGUGACUGUUCAUUUUUUAUAAAUAAAUCUCUUUACCUGAUCAAUUUUGUUACUUUUAAUUUGAAAAUUUUUUUAAAAUUUUAUUAUAUCUUAUAAAUAUAACUAUCUUUAAGAUAAUGACAUUCACUCCUCAAAAUCAUAUUCCUUUUUUCUUAUUAUUUCUAUUUUCUUAAAUUUUCUAACAUGUAGCACCUUAAACUCCAUCUUGACUUCACCUAAAUUGUUCAAAAAGACAAAACUUAACUUAAUCUCUAUUUUUAAAAAAAUAUAUCAAUUUGAUUGUAGUAAAUAAAAACUUGUAGAAUAUAGAUUAUUUUGUUAUCCCGACAUCUAUUAAUUUUUUUUUAUAAAAUUUAUCUAAUAAAAAAAUUUUAAAAUAAAGAAAAUGAUUUAAACAAAUCUAAAUGGAGUGAGACAUAAAUUUAUUAAAUUAAAAUAUUAAAUUAUUUUUUUAAUAAAAUACAUAACAAAUAUACAAUUAAAUAAAUAAUAAAAAAUAUAUUUUAUAUAUACUAAGAACAAGGCAUAAAAUCAAAAACCUUACUCUUAUCCAAUCUUGUUUAAAAAAAAAAAUCAAUCCAAUUAUUUUAAAUUAAAAGAAAAUGCAUCCAUUAAUUGGAGUUAACUAAGCCCAUCAUAUACAUGUUAUUUAUUAUCUUUAUUUCAAUUAACAAAGGAAACCCAAAAAAUCAAAAGUUUUAAAAGAUAAAAGAAAAUAAAAAAAAAAGAAGAUAUUACGUAAAUACUUGAGAUAAGAGGAAACACUUUAAAUUUGUUACCGAUCCAACCUUAUUAUCCAAAAAAAAAUCUCAAACACAAUCUUGAUUUAAACAAAACACAGUUAUAUGAUGGAUCAGUACGAAUCAAAACUAAUAGAAUACAAAUUAUUUUAUCCUCUUUACCUUCAUGAUUUUUUUAUAAAAUUUAUUUAAUAAAAAAUAAAAUUAACAAAAAACCAAAUAAAAAGUUAAAAUAAUCAAAUAAAAAUAAGAUUUAAUUAAAAAAAAAUAGAUCUCCUUCCUCCAUUCUCUAUAAAAUUAAUUGUAUAGAUAGAUUCUAAUAAUUAAGUUCAAAUAUAAAAAUAUAAUAUUUUUUAGAAAAAGAAAAGAGAAGAAAAGUGACACUGGUUUUUUUGUACUUGAGUUGUUGAUGUUCUUGGACAACCCAGAAAGGCAAAAGCCCAACAGUUUCGGUUCACUAAAAAAGGCCAAAGCCCCGAUAAGGAAAAGCUUUAAUCCAAACCAAAAUUUGUGUUUUGGGUCUUGGCAAUGAGGAAUGCUGGGAACACUUGUUUGAACCACAGCCUUUUGACACGCGAGCAUAGAAGAAACCACGUCACCUAGUUUUUUAAGCUAAAAACUUGUGACCGGAUGUUGGCUUUAGUGCUUUACUCCUCAAAGUUUUGUAUAAAGAUUAAAAUGCCCUUAUUAUGUUAUGUUGGCCUCAAUCUUUUUUUUUUUUAACAAAAACUUUUAUCUUAUCAUAAUUAGUUUUAUUUUAAAAUUUUUUUUAUAAAAAUAGCAACUCAAUCAUUUUUUAGAAUUUUUUAUUACACAAAAAACUAAAUAUAAUAUUAUUUAUAUUUUCUCAUUCAAGAUAUUUUUUAAUCACUAAUUUUUUUUUUAAUCAAACAUUCAACAAUCUAUAAAUUUAAGAUAAUAACUCAAACAAAACCAUGAAAGUGAAACUUAAAAAAAAAACUAAAGAACACCUACAAACUAUCAUAAAAUUUGUACUUAAAAAUUUUAAAAUUAUAAAAUUUAAUUCUCGAUUUUUUUAAUUUAUCAAACAAUACCUCACUUAAAAUGUAAAAAAAAGAUGAAUCAAAUAAUAGAAAAAAAUAUUACUAUAAUAUUAAAGCACACUUAUUUUACAAAAAUAAAAAGAAAAAUAAACAAUCAUUUUACUCUUAAAUUAUAUUCUUCAAAAUGGCUUAUGAUAGAUAAUUUUUUUAAUUAAAUUUUGCAACAGGGAAUUGGAAUAGAAAGCUUAUGGCAUUUAACCAAGAUUUCAACCAAAAUAUAUGCCUAUUAAUUAUUUUUUAUUUAAAAAUUAUAAUAAAAUUUUAUUACUUCUAUUUAAUCAAUCACUCAUAAAAUAUGUUUUCAUUUAAAUUAUAAAAGAAUUUUAAAUUAUUAUAAAAACAUAUCAUUUAUAAUUAUCAAUCAUGCAUAAUCAUAAAUUGGAUUAUCUAUGAUCUAUGGAAAUAAUAUAUGAAAAUAAUUUUACAAUAUGGUAGAAAUUUACAUAAUUUUUUGUAGUAAUUAUAUAAUUGUAAAAUUAUAAUAAAAAUAAUUAUAAAUAAUAUAUUGUCAAGUUUUUUUUUUAGAAAAAAAUUGCAAUCUAAAGAAAUUAGAGAAAAAAAAUUACAAGCUUGGGAAAUUAAAUUUAACUUAUACAAACACGUAUGUCUUAUUAUAUAUAAAUGUAAAAGGGAGAAUGAAUAUUAUUUUUUAAUAAAUUAUAUUUUUAUUAUAUAUAAAUAUAAUAUUUUGUUAAAUUAAUAUUUUAAAUUAAAAUAUUUAAUAAUAAAUUUAUUAAUGUAAUAUAUAAUUAAAUAAAUAAUAAAAUAUAAACAGAGUGAAGCAUUCUAAUUCUUCUAGGACCUCAUCCCAACUAUUUUUCUACGAAGCAUUUUACCCUGUCAAAUCGAAGUUGUUUUAACUUCCUAUGUUCAAAUAAUAAAAGACAAUAAAACAGGAAAACCUUCGAUUAUUGUCACAUGGAAGCAAUCAGUUUUUUUUUUUUUUUUAUCUGGAGUUUGGUGGAUUGGUCCAGCGUAAUAUCCUGACUUGAAAGGUUACAAACGCAUCUUUUGUCCUUUUCGUCUCAAAAUUAAAUAUUUUAUUUUAUUUUUAUAUGAAGCAGGCUACUUAUAAUUGUAAGUUGCCGGUUUUGAAUUUGAAAAGCUAGACGACGUGGCUUAGUCUUGGCUCAAGUAUCGAAACACGAUGGUUGUUUCGACUAUCGCUAGCAUUCCGCCUUGGCAAUUUGGCACUGCGAUGCGACGCUUGGGAGGUUUCCAUUUUUUUUAAUUGUUUUUAUCCAAAGGGGUAAAAAAGGGAGAGCAAAAGGGCUGCUAUGAUCCUACCCUACAACAGGGUCCCACAUAAAGGAUGCUGAGAUGGCAAAGAUCAGUGGAGAGACUAAACCUUACUGAAAAUGUAUGUUAAAGCAGAGAACCCAAACUCUUAAACCCCUCAACAACACGACAGAACGUAACAUCUUAUUCGCUUCUUCUCGUAUAAACAGCCACCACCUGACACUUAAACCUUCCUCUUCUCUUGUCUUCAUUGUUCCUUUCUUACAUUCAAAUAAUAAAACACUUUUACAAACAGUGAGGAGAGCCCCUAAAACCUUAAAAACCACGAAAAUCAGACCAUGUACAGAGCUGCUCUUUCACGUGUCAGGGCUCUCAAGGUCAGUUUUUUUUUUUUAACUCAAAUCCCUUUCAAAAGCCCUAAAAAUUUUCUGUUUGUUUCUCGAGAAAAUGCCUGAAAACAAUAUAAAAGACGACCCAAAAAAAUUAGUUUUUGUCACAUGGGUUAAAGAGCCAUUUCAAUGCCCAUUCAAUGACAUUGUUUUUCUAACUCUUGUCUUCGUCCAGCUUUUAUUUUUUUUUCUAUUGUGCAUUUUAUGCAGUGAACUGACUAUUGCUAUUUGAUGUUUGUAUAUCCAUUUAUGAGGUGAUUUUUUUAGUUAGUUUGUUAAAUUAGUUUUUUUUUUUUCUCCCUGUUUAUACCGCAUUUUAAUGCGUUUAAAUAUAAGGGGCGUUUGGUUUUGUUUGAUACCCGGUGUUUUGUUUGAUUUUCGGGACAUCCCAUAAUUGGAUUCAAUCGUUUGAUAGAGAAAAUCUUGGUUUAUUAAUUCAUGUAUAAUUAUCAUAAUCUUCUUGACAAGCUAUAGGUAACUUUUCAUUUUAAUUUUUUUGGAUUAAAUAUAUUUAAUUUCGGAGUUUACCUAGACAACUGUAAUUACUGUAUAUAAAUAUAAAAGAAAAAUUAAUUAUCCCCCUAUGGAAUAGCUGAACGCCUUAUUUGUAAAUAUAUUUAAAAAAUCAUAAAAUAAGAUGUUUUACUUUGUUCAAAGAAAAUGUCUUAUUUGAAUUUGUAAAGAUUCUGGAAAAUUGUUUAUCAAUUAAGGCGUAUGUAAAAAGGAAACACUUUGUUUGAAUAGGCUUUGUAAAUAUGUUGGAAAAAGCAUCAAAUAAUGCGUUCGUUCGAAAAAACGUCUUAUUUGCUUUUUUAAAGAUUCUAAAAGAUUGUCUGUUAAAUAAGAUGUUUGUAAAAAGGAAACACCUUUUUUGAAUAGGUCAAAUAAGGUGUUUGUUCAAAGGAAUGCUGAAAAAACAUCAAAUAAGGUGUUUCAAUUAUCAAUUAAGGCGUUUCAAGGCAUCUUAAUUGAUAAUCAAUUAAGUCAUUUCUUCCUUAAAACAUCUUAAUUGCCAUAUAUUAAAACUAAAUUAAAAAUAAGGCAAAUUAAAAAAAAAAAAAACUAAAAUUGGGUCCCUGACUUGCUUUUCAAAAGAGUAAAGGAUAUGUGACAAAUUUUCUAUUUAGGUCAAAUUUGGAAAUAAGGCAUCUUUUCCCUCGGAAUCCUAAAAUACCAUAGGGAGAGGUAGGUUUUUGAUUCCGAGACUUUAGAUACUGUUGGAAAUCUGACAUUUUCUCUCAUAAUCGAUUACCUUAAACCAAACAUGAGAAACAAAUACCCACAAAAAAAUUUGUGGAUUCUUCCGAACCAAACGUACUCUAGAUGCUUCAUGACAUUAGUAGUUUUUUUUUUUUCAUUAGUCUUUCUUGGUGUUUUCUUUGGGUUUUGAGAGAAUGGGAAAAUUUAAAAAAAAAAAAAAAGUCAGUUUUCUUUAAUGAACAUUUUAGCCAAAAAAGCCAAACAUUAAAUUUAUGAAGAUUUCUAGAUUCAACAGAGACAAUGGAAGCUAUAUUAUAUCCCUUUCUUUUCUUUGAUUGUAUAUUAUUUAUUUGUUCUCCUUCAACUACAUAAUCGUGCUUGCUUUGUGUACAUUACUAUGUUUGUUGGUUCAUCAAAUAGUUGCCUCAUAAUUUAAACGGUUGGCUUGUUUUUCUUUUCUCCACUUGAUGGAGAUGGUGCUGGGAAAAAUUCAACUGUUGGUGUGUUGGUUUUAUAUCUAGUCACUUACACAGAAAUGCUUUUUGAACAUUUGUGAGUAGGGCCGCACUGUGAAUUUGGCAGCCGUCCAAUAUGCAACUUCAAGUGCUGUAGUUCCUUUGGACACACCAUUAGACAGCGUAUCCCUUCCACCCCCCUUACCUGAUUAUGUUGCACCAAGUGAAACUAAGGUCAAAACUCUAUCUAAUGGUGUGAAAAUAGCCUCAGAGCAAUUACCGGUAUUGUUAAAUUUCUUCUCUUCAUUUAUUGAACUGCUAUUUCCAUUAUCAAGUGUUGCUGCUGCUGCUUUUUGUUAUUUGUUUCAUUGGUUAUGGUGUAGUAAAGUUCUUUGCUUGUUUUGUCAGACUCCUGCUGCUUCCAUUGGCUUAUUCAUUAAUUGUGGUUCCAUUUAUGAGACACCAAUAUCAUCUGGUGCCUCCCACUUGCUGGAGCGAAUGGCAUUCAAGAGCACAAAAAACCGCAGCCACUUGCGUGUUGUUAGGGAAGUUGAGGCAAUUGGAGGUAACACAUCGACCUCGGCCUCUAGGGAGUGCAUGUCUUACACCUUUGAUGCCCUUAAGACCUAUGUUCCUGAAAUGGUAGAAUUGCUUAUUGACUGUGUUAGGAACCCUGCUUUUUUGGAUUGGGAAGUUAAUGAAGAG
rnacentral:lncRNA from 1 species